GCGCCCAUUUAUUUCAAAGCUCUUAUUACUAAGUCCUAGACUCCUCUUCUCAAGCACAUGGCUAUCAGGUACGUGGGAAGCUUGUUAAAUGCAUGGGUUCUUGCUCGUCUUUGGGAGACAUAUCAGCAUGCUUGGAAAGAGAUACACGGAAGACAAUCAACACAAGAUUUGCUUUAUUUCUAGGAUGCAUGGGCAAGCACUCUACUUAUAGAACUCCAUAACCCAGAGAUUACCAAUAGCACGUUCACAACUCAUCCCACUAAAACCAGCGCUAGUAGCCAGGGUCAUGAAUUCAUGCCUUGUUCUCUCCUUUCCACCGGGACUUUGAAUCAUCAUAAGCACGUCAAAAUGGGAAUUUGAUUUUGAUUCAAUGUUUGUAUUAGGAACUUCUGGAAGCAUUGACUCCACAACGAUUACCUUUCCAUCUUCUGGAAUGCUUUUGUUGCAAUUCUUCAACAACUUCAAGCAAUGUUCAUCAUUCCAAUCGUGCAGUAUCCACUAUAUACAAAUUCUCAUAGUAAUCAAACUAUUGUUCGUAAAAAUUUAAUUUAAGGAACUCCUCAUAAUAUGUCCGCAAAUUAAAUUAAAAACUUACCUUCAUAAAAAUGGCAUCACCUUUUGGAACACUUUGGAACAUAUCACCCCGCACAUGCUCAAUACCUGUAAAAUAUUAUACAAUUAAGAAAUCAGACAAUUAGAAUUAUGUCACUCUCACUACUAGAAAAAUGGUCUUUACUAAUACUUGUGUUCUGACACUUUAUUUAAAAGUAGCAGUAUAUAAAUAUAUUUGGAUCAUUUUCCGCGUUUAACAGAUAUGUAUCACUAAUUACUAAUACUGAAGUAUCAAUAGCUUUAGUAAUAGCGAUCAAUGACGCUCAUGUAUCAGCAAUUAAAAAUUAUCAUUUUAAUUUUGUUUUAGUCUAAAUUUGAACCCAAGACCUCUUAAACCUAGAGCUUCUACAUUGAAUCAAAAGACCACUAGGCUACGAAUUAUUUUUAAUUUUUUUAGAGUUGUGCUUUUUGAGUGGAUAAAAACAAAACAAAUGGACAAGUCUUAUCUUAUCCAAAAUACAACUUUUCAACUCCCUCUACCAAAGUAUUCGUUCCCUCCUAAGCUCCCCAGAUCUGAAAAAUCCCUAACAUCCAAAUUGUCAAAAAGUGCUCAGGUCUUAUCUUUUUGUUUGGCCGGCAUGGUGCUGCGAAAUCAAAGGUCAGUAAGCAGUAAUGGAAGAUAACGAGUGCAGAGAUGGCAGGAAGAAGGUAAGACUGGCCAACACCCCUCUCUCCGCCUCCCAAAUCUUGACACGUAUCCUCCCAUCCGGCGGUGGGGACGCCGAGAACUUGCAACGUAUCCUCCGCUUGCUCACCAGCUACGGCGUGUUCUCAGAGCAUCGCGAAUUUGGAGGCAAAAGGAUGUACAGCCUCACCGAGAUUGGGAAAUCCCUCGUUACUGAUGUCGAGGGUCUAUCGUACGCGCCCUACGUGCUCCAACAUCACCAGGAUGCGCUUAUGAGCAUGUGGCCUUUGGUGCACAAGGCCAUUCUGGACCCAACUAUUGAGCCAUUUCUGAAAGUCCAUGGCGAGCCGGCAUAUAGUUAUUAUGGGAAGAUACCUGAAAUGAACGGCUUGAUGCGGAAAGCCAUGUCGGGAGUGUCCGUGCCGUUCAUGACGUCCGUUUUGGAAGGUUACAAUGGGUUCAAAGGUGUAAAGCGAUUGGUUGAUGUGGGUGGGAGUGCAGGUGAUUGCCUGAGGAUGAUAUUACAGAAACAUCGUUUUAUAUGUGAAGGGAUCAAUUUUGAUUUGCCUGAGGUUGUUGCCGAAGCUCCAAGUAUCCCUGGAGUGACCCAUAUUGGUGGGGACAUGUUUAAGUCCAUUCCUGCCGCUGAUGCUAUCUUUAUGAAGUGGGUUUUAACUACAUGGACUGAUGAUGAAUGCAAGCUUAUAAUGGAGAACUGUUACAAGGCUCUUCCAGCAGGAGGAAAACUGAUUGCUUGCGAGCCUGUGCUGCCUGAUGAUUCAAACGAAAGUCAGAGGACUCGUGCUCUCUUAGAAGGGGAUAUUUUUGUUAUGACCAUCUACAGGGCCAAAGGUAACCACAGGACUGAACAAGAGUUUAAGCAACUUGGUUUCUUUGCCGGUUUUCCACACUUGAGAUUAUAUAGAGUGUUAGAUUAUUAAGAAAUAGCUUCGAGUCUUAGCUUACCUCACAAUUAUAAGUUGGUAUAUAUGCAUGUAUGUGUGUGUGUAUAUUUUAAAUACAAUUAGUAGAGUAUACGAUAUCAUAAUAUAAAAAAAUACUUGUAAAUUAAUAAGUUGAUUACUAAAGUUGAUAUUUAAAUUUAUUCAUUCACAACCAUUAAUAUAACCCCUGCCUAUAGUGGCUGAGGGUUGUGCCGCCCUGAUCCUAUAGUGACUAAGUCCAUUCGUGUCGAGGUUAUGAUAAUUCGUUUCUUUUUAUUCGUGACUGACCCAUAUAUAUGCGUGCAGCUUUUGGCAUUCCAAAACCUGUGGCCUUAUUAGUUUCCAUGUUUUAUGAUUAUUUUGGAGCAGUGUCUACAACCAUAUGAUUAUCUGAGUGCCAAUUUUUCAGUUCUAUUAAUAACAAUGCUGCUGAUGCAUGCGCAUGAAUAGGAGAUGCCAUUGUAUUGAAAAUUAGAGAAUUAAACUUUUUUAAUUCGUAAUGAAACUAUAACUAUUUUAAGUUGCAUUCUUCCUCCUUAGCUGUGCUUGAUGGUCCUCCUUUACCGAAACUCCUCCACUAUCUAGGCAGGUGCGCAUUCCAUUAACUCGGUUAGCGGCAUUUGCUGAUUUUUCAACUUCCAUAUUUUUGCAUGAAUUUUGUUCUGGUGCCCAUAUGCGGCGUUAGAUGUUCUGGUUACUCAAUAAUGUUUUUGUUUUUCUAGUCAUAUUCUGCUAUCCGAGCUGCACUUAGUUUAUAGAUUUUUACCAACUAAAGUUGUUUUUUUUUUGUAGAUGAUAAUUCGUUUUAUUUUUUUCUUUUCAUUUUGCGGGGAUCUUAUGCACUUUCAGGGAGAUGAAGAUUCGAAUCAAAGCAUUUCUGGUAAUUUGAUUGACAUUUCAUACAGGGUUGCCGUUAUUUUUGAAAUACUCUUAUGUUAUGUAUACACUAAACACUAUACGCGUUUUAAGCAUUUCUCUGUUUUUCAAAUUUUUUGAUUUGCAGAUGAGGAAGAUUUUAACGUCGAUUUACGAGAUAAUUGUGUUUCGUUGGGUGGGCCAUCGGAGAAAGAGGUCAGUUUUCAAUUUACCAGUUUAAUUGUCAUUCGAUUUAAUUGUUGAAUAAUUUUUUAUUAAAAUUUACUUAAAUUGUUAUCCAUCACGUAAUUGAUGUGAUGACGUUGAUUUUGUAAAUUUAGAGGCAAUUGUUUUAUUUAUUCAUGCUAUGAUUUUUGUAAAUUGAUAGGAAGUAGUGCAACUUCAAUCGCGACUAGACAUACUGAAAGGUGCGCUCUGAAAUCGUAUUAUUAUUUUGUAAUAAAAUGUUUUGACCCUAAUAAGAUUGUUGAGGGUGUUGUUCAUCGAUAUUCAUGUUUAGUUUCCAAAGCACAGAUUUGGUUUCUGACAUACAGGUACUCAUGGAGAAACUUGUGGAAAGAUUGCUGGCAGUUUAUCACUAAAGGCAAGUGAUUGAAUUUGAAUAGAAUUUUCAAUUUCCGGCCAGUUUUCUUAGGAGAAAUUGACAUUUGUGUAUGUCGCUGUAACAGAAGCAAAUAAGUGUCUUUGUGGAAGACGAGGUUGAAACGGCUGAAUUUCCUGAUGAGGUUGGUUUUAUCUUCUCGCCAAGGAACGCAUCAACAUGUACCUCAGAUGAAGAAGUAAUCUCUGCUAAUGAGGUAUUAUAUCCAAUAAGGUUUAGGAUUAGCUAUUAUGUGUUGACUGCGUCUCUGUAGCUAGCUGUGUCUAUCUUUUCAUGGAUGCGCUGCUUCCAAGUAAAUUUUUGUCCUUGUUACUUGACACAAGAAUUAUUUACGAGUUUCUUUUUAUUUAGAAGGCUAAUGCACUCCCAGAAUUUUCACGCACUCCUGGCAUUAAGACAUUCCACAAAGAUGGAUUUCAUGAUUUUGGAAGUGCAAGGCUAGAUGGGGAGAACACGUGGUCUGUAGUAAGUAAAGAAGCUAAGGCACUUGUCCACUUAAAUGAAAAUGCUUUAUGCUCAUCAUCAUCACAGCCCACCUGCAAAGCAAACAAAUCUGGUAAAGGUACUCUAUGAUUCUUUAAUGGUGUCUUGAUAAUGUUUUUCCUUUAUAGUUUCUGUACAUUUCUAUUUAAAAAAUUGUCGUGCCACUUGUUAAACCAAUAAACCUAGUUAAAUAUAGUAGUUUGCUGACAUUUGAAUUGUCUCUAAAUAUAUAUAAUGUUUUAGUUCUUUAAUGUUUGUAUGUAAAUUGUAUAUCUCAAUGUAAUCCAUGCCAGAUGCUCAAAAAAGCCGUAGUCCCAAACUAAUUGCUAUCAACUGCAAGAAUGUCUAUAUAUGGAAGUUGGAUUUCACCUUCUGAGUUGGAGCUUAUUAUCAAAAAAUUGCUAAAAUAAAAACUAAAGUGAAAAAUGAAUAAGACACAGAACAGUUAAUGUACUUUGAGCUAUGUGAUGCUCUGUUGUUCACACAUAUGUGCUCCACCAUUCGAAAUAAUUGAGUUUACUUAUAAAUAGUGUAUGAAUAUUUUUUCUUUAGAACAAAAUAGAUUUAUUUAUAUUAACCAUUGUUUCUCUAAUGGUUGGGAAUUGGCAGCUAAUUUUUUCUCCUUUUUCCAUGUAUGCAAAUUUGCUCAAUGUGUUUGAAGUGUUUCUUCCUCAACUUCACUUGUAUCAUAACCCAUACAAUCUAUUGAAUGGAGAAGCUGCUGGUGUGAUAACGCAAUUAUACUACUCAUAUUCAAAGAGUGAAAGACAGUCAUCAUUCUCAAUUUAGCUUCUAGAUUUAUUAAAUUUAGCCACAAGUAGUAGGCAUUUGAUUGGAUGGUAGAAAUUUUUAUGUAUUGAAUUUGGAUUAUUUAGUUAUGAGAGUAGGAUAUCUCAUAUUUUGGCUAUUGAAGUUGAAUUUGUAAUAUAUACUAAUAAUAUUUAAAUGUGAAAUGAAAGAUUUUGUGAUAUAAAUCAAUUUCUUUUUGUUAUUUUGUGGUGCUUUUAAUUUUACAAAUAAAUCAAUAGGCAAUGAACCAAUUCAAUUUUUUAUUUUUUUUAAAUAAAUUAACUAGUGAUACCAUGGUAACAGUAAUCAUAGACACUAAUAAAAUAUCAAUAACUACUAACACUAUGGUGUCAUAAUAUCGGUGAUACUGUAGUAAUAGUAAUCACUGACACCACUUACAAGUGUCACUAUUUUUCUGACUCCCAGAUUACUGACACAAUUAACAAGUGUCAGUGAAAAUAAUUUCUGACACUAUUGUAAAGUCAGUAAAGACUAUUUUUCUAGUAGUAUCUAUUUUCAUUAGCAAGAUGAAUUACGUCAAGAACUGUUUGCUCAAACUUAAUUAUGCCAAUGUUAUGGAAGUUCCUGAUAUACAAGCACACACAACAGAUGUCCUCAUUUUUUUAAAUAUAAAUUUGGAGUUUUACAAGAUUUUCACAAUAGUAAACCACUGAAGAAUUAUACACACACAUAUAUGAGAGCAGGUUCAAGGGAUAUUUUUUUAAUACAAUUUUACAUAUAAAUUUCUAACAAUUAGGUUAAAGUUUAUCACAUGGUUAACAUUAAAACUGCAUGCAGUUUUAUAAUUCUAAAAAUUAAUUAACUAGACGUAAGUUCCUACGUCAAAUAAUAAACGUGAAACAUGACGCUCUUUCCUCUCUCUUAUCAUAUAAAUUUAUUUAAACUAAGUAAUUUCAUUCAAAGAUUGAAAUUACACUUCAUUUCGGAGGAAGAUCUUCCAAUCAAAUUAUAGGCAACUUAAAAUUAAAAGCUGCCUUAGCUAACACGAGUAUGCGUGUUGCGGGCUCUUCGGAUGAACUGAAUUCUAAAUCAGCAUUGUCCUUAAUUUCCUCUUGAAUGUCCAACAACACUUAAAAGAUUUUGUUUGCUUAACAUCAUGUUUAGGACAUUCAUAUAUUUCUCUUUUUAACUUAUGCUCUCAUCUCCUUCAAUCCUUCCUCUACUCAUUAUAAACCAUUUUUUUUAUUCUGAUGGUUGUUGGAUGGAUGUUACUACUACAAAUUAAAAUAUAGUACUUCCCUAGUUCUCUGUAUGUUUACUUUAGUUAUCCAGUAAAUCGAAACGUGAUUAGAUGACUAUGCUUUGUUAAUCUUAAAAAAAUAUAUAUGUAGAAACGAUUGCCAACAUUUUUUUCCAAUAUGUACAUUUGGUUUAAUAAACAAAUUUAUGUAGAUAACAUCUUCUUUUAUGGCUACUUGGAUGUGUACCUUAGUUCAUUGGUAAUUUAGAGGGAGAAAUAAAGGGUAAUACAAAGGUGAGAGAAACGUAUUUUACUUUUACUAUUAAAUUUAAUAAUAUGGCACCUACGCGAAUUAAUUAGUUUUUUAAAAUAACAAAAUUACACGUGAGCUUUAAUAUUAAUCCUUAGAUGAACUCUAUUAGAAAGAAAUUUGUUUCUAAAAGUAUCUUUUUUAAACUGCCACCAACAUCGACCAGUUGCUUGAUAUUGUCGAAGCCCUUGUAAGAUUCACGAAUGUUGCUCAUAACCAGAGAGGUAUAGUUAUACAUUGCUGUGUUAAAAUGUUUAUUGAACCUAGGGUCCAAUCCUACAUACUCAAAUAUAUGCAUUCCAUGGGCUCGAUUAAAUGGAAUUCCUCCUUCAAGAAUAGUAUCUUUGAGUUGGGACCUACAUAAAUUCCGAAAAACCAAUUUAUCAUGCAUCGUAUAUAAAUAUAAGCUCCAUGCAUGCAUGCAUGGUCUAGCUGAUCAUUUACUUAAAAAAAAAAAAAAGAGAAAUAGAAAUUAAUUAAUUACCAGCUCUCUAGAAAGACCUUGUCCUAAAUUAUUUGUAUUAGGGGGCCUAAUAAGACGCUAUCUUUGUUAGGUGAUGAGCAUAAUUUAUAUACAUAUUUUACCUUUUAUUAUAUGUUUGCUAGUUAUUUUUAUUUCUUACUUUUAAUUAAUUGAAUUGUUUUAUUGAAUAAGAAAUUAAUUUGAGAUUAUGGAUAAAAAGGGUGUAAAAGAGCUCAAUUUUGAAAGCAUUAAAGAUUAAUUGAUUUUUGGAAGCAAUUAGACAUACAUGCAUGCGGAAAUCAAGCCAAUGAACCAAAUUCAACAAGUUAAUUCAUCGUGCAUUCAUCGUGCACAUGAGGACAAAGGAGAGAAAUUGAUUUAGCUUUAAGAAGGGACCCACACUUGGCUUUUAUAAAUGAAAAAAACAGUCCUUUAGCAAUUCUAAGUGCCCAGGACGUGAGUGAGGCCAAAACAAAUUAAAAGGCCAAACCUUUUGGCUUUGGAAUUGGAAAAGUCGGUGGGGCCCAUUUUAAAGACUAAGUAUAAAAGCAAGCUUUUUUCUUUCGGAGAGGGAAGGUAGCAGCUGUUGUGCAAAUUUUAAUGUACUCGCAAGCGCACGAAUCUAUUGUAGUAUAGACUAAUGGUGACGAGUGUCGAUCCCACGAGGAGGUGGAUUUUAAUUAUAUAUAGAAUUAAUUUUGUAAAUGGGUGGUUGGAUUUGUGGUAGAAAUGAUUUGGAAUAUGCUAAAACUUAAAUUAAAAUGAUAAGAAUAAAUUCUAAAAUUGGUAUUGAAAUGGCGAGAAUAAAUUGAAGAGAAUUAUAUUGAAAUGACGUACUUGGGUAUCUGGAUCCGUAUCAACAUGCAUCAUGGGCUAAAUAAUCCGUAUUAAUGCCAAUUAAAUCAUGAGGGGGGAAUCCACACCUCAUGAACCACGCUCUAAUCAAUAUGGUGCGAAGGGAUUAUCGUGCCAAAUAAUAAUAACCUUGUUCUAGAGGGCCAGUGAAACCAAGGCGGUACUAGACAAGAUUAGUAUUAUUUGUCGACGAGAAGUCAAAACAUCCACAAAAACUAGAGGGGAAGAGAAAAUAAAUUUACCAAAUUAAGCCCAUGACACAUGUUGAGACUUCACCUUCAACCCAAGCUUGAAAGAAAAUUAGCCACUCAUAAUUGAACUAGGGGCAAAAUGGGAAUUUAUUAAAAUACGAAGAAAAUACAAGAUGGAGAAGGAAUUACAGAAAAUCGAGUCCAAAAAUGGAUUCAGAGAUAUCAAAUUAGGGGGGAGAGGCCCCCUUUUUAUAGAUACAUGGAGUAAAUCAUGGCCAUCGGAUUAAAAACAGUUUGGACGCUCAGGAUUACGCCACGUCAUCAGUCAACAGUCCACGGUUUGACCACGCGGAUGAACAGUAACACGGUUUGACCCGACUUUGAACAGUAACGUGGUUUGACCCGGAUGAACAGUAACGCGGUUUGGUUGAAAAUAAUCCGGUGUGAUGCAUGCACCGUAUGCGAGAUUUUUCGUCCACUGAUAUGCUGCCACGUCACCAUCAACAGUAUAUAAGAAUUUUAGUCCAACAGGAUCGUGACACCUCAUCAGUCAAUGCCACGUCAUCGGUCCGUCUAUGUGAACAGUGUCGUGAACAGUAACAUAUACAGUACCGUACACGUGAAUAGUACCGUACAUGUGAACGGUGCCAUUUUUCCUUUUAUGCUCCUCCUAAGGUUUUCGACCGUCCUGAGUUCAAAAGUGAUGUCCGUUUUGCCAUCUGAUUUCUCGUUUAUUGUGAAAUGACUAUGAUGCCCCUAAAAUACAUAAAAUACUUAAUUAAAAUAAAACACAUGUAAUUAAAUCACAAGAAGGUUAAAUACAUAAAAGUAAGGGUUUUUAGUAAGACUUGAAAUGUAAAAUGACGGUUUUCUCCUUUAUAAAUAUGCAUUUUCUAACACUCAACACACCCCCCAACUAGCUUAUUGCUAGUCCCUAGCAAAUAAAGCGAAAACAAAAUUCAAAUUCAAAAAAAAAAAAAUUUUAAUAGAAACACUCGUAUUUAUUCCGUCAGAUUAAUGAUAGCAAUCAAAUAAAAGUAUAAGCAUUAUCUCCAGUCUAAAGUAACAUCACACCCACAUCAACCAUCCACAUGAAUCAGCCCAGUAAACUUUGUUAUAGCUGCUUUCAAGAAUGACAUGUCAAACCCCAAAAUCUCACUGGAAGUAGUGACACUCUCACAAAGAAAUUAAACCCAAUAAAAAUAGUCACUCCAAUGAAUGAUAAUUAAGAGAAAAUAAUGAAGAAGUGAUAUCACAUGCUCUCACCAAGAUAAAAUAAAGAUGCCCUCAGCUUAAAAAUGAUACGAUCUCAAGUCAAAUAAAAACUGUUAGUCAACCCAAUUUAUUUAUUUUUUUUUAUAUGCACCACUACAUCUUUUUAGCCCAUAUAACUAGCUUCUACUUCAGAUUAUAGUUCCCUAAAAUCAAGAAGGACUUUUAUUAGGACGUAACGUAGGCUAGGGACAUGACUAACAAAGAAGGGAAAUAAGGAAAACAAAGUGUAUGUUUGAGAAAAGUGCAGAGAAUUUUUUUUUUUUUUUUGGAAGUUGCAAGGUGGAUUUCACCUAUUAUUUUUAUUUUUAUUCUUUUGAAACAACAACUUUUGUUUUGUUUUUUUUUCUCUUUUUUUUUUUGGCAUAACUUCACUGAACAAAAUAAUUUUUUACAUUUUUCUCAAACAUAAAUAGGUAAUGGAACUUAUAAGAUAUCGGGUAAUACUCCAAAUCGGAGUGGGUCAAGAUGAUAAGUUGACAAAGAAAAGGUUUUUUUUUUAAAAAAAAAAGGCUCAAAAGGGUUAACUAUGGAUAUUUAAUAAAAGGGAUGGCUAGAAAGGCUCAAACGGAUCAAAGAUGGCCUUUCCAUCGUCUUUUAGGGCUCUAAAUAAUCAUCCAUAUCUACUAGUUAGAUGGGCCUCCCAAUGUAGCAACACUUUUUUUUUCUUUUUUUUUAUUAAGGGUUACUCUCCACGAAAAAUGAUAGGCUCAAAAACUCACUUGGUACUUAUUGUGACAUGUUCAUUCCUUCAAGCAACUCAUAUAUGUCUCCGACAUCAACAUAUAGAGUAGCAAACAUAAUGUAACAUCACUUAAGACCAAAGAUAAUACAAAUACUAAAAUUUAAAUUAAUCAUGUCACUCAAUGUUAAAACAAAUCACAGAUAUUUUUUUUUUAAACAACAUUCUACCCCCCAACCUAUUCUAAACAUGAAAGGAAAAUAUGCAUGCAAAAAUGUGAAAAUGAUGCAAAAAAAAAAACUAAUUAGAAAAAGUACACUUAAAAUGAUAGAAAAAGAAAAUGGUUUUUUAUUUUUUUACUAAGAAGAUGCGUUUCUAGAGGCACUACACUCCAUAUUCAGCCAUCUUCGACUCAAAAGUUGGAAAAUAUAUAUUCAUAGAGGAGAAAUUAAUAAGAAGAAAAAUAAACAUCAAAACUUAAUAAAGAAAAAGAAAAUGUCUAAAUUUUUUUUUUGAAUUUUUUUUUGUUUUUUUUUUCAAACGAUGAAGAUGCGUUUCUAGAGUAACUACACUCCAUAUUCAGCCAUCUUCAACACAAAAAGUUAGCAACAGUUAGUUUCUACAACAAAAAAUCAGUAAAAACCUAACCAAGAUUCCACAAUUGUCGACUAUUCCCUCCCCCCAACCAGAACGAAACAUUGUCCUCAAUGUUUGAAAGGAAAGAAGUAGAGUUUAGAAGACAUCACCUGGGUGGUGCAACACAGAAGAAAAUAUUUACAGGCGGAGAGUUAAAUCUAAUUUGUACUUAUUACUGCUGCUACUGUUACCAUCAUUAUUUGGACGCUCCAACACAAAGGUCCAGGGGUCUGGCUCCGAUCUAUAAGCUUGUAACAGAUCAAGUAGCUCACUAGCAGUGUGAGCACAAAUAAAGAGUUUUUUCACAUUAACGGGAAUGAAAUAGUUUUUUAUUGCAUGGUUAAGAAAUGCGAUAAAGCCAUCAUAAAAGUUAUUGACAUUUAACAAAUCGAUGGGUUUCUGGUGGAUGUGGAGAUGGGCCCAAGAUGCUAGCGUGAUAAGUGCCUUUAGUGUUGCAAGAUCUCCUGGAAGGAAAAUAAAAGCAUCAGCAUGAUUAAGCAUUUCAGUUAUUCUUUCUUGCAUACCUGAGACGACUAACUCUUCUCCAGUUGAUGAGUCAGACGAAUUGCCCAAUGGUUUUAAGACUCUUGGGAUGAUGCCUAACACUUGACUUCCUCUGAUAAAAGCUGCUUCUGAGACCAUUUUUGAUAACCCUCGAUUACCUCCUCCAUACACCAAGUGUAAUUUUCUCGCUGCUAUGCUUCGACCAAGAUCUAUGGCUGCCUCAACGAACUCUUUAUGUUUGCCAUAUGUAAAUCCAGAAAGCACACAAAUGUUCUUGAAUUGUCUAUUGGGAGUAGCUGACAUUGUGAUACUUCUCAAAAACAAUUUGUGAGUGCUUGACAAAAAAGAAAUCACAUUUAAGAGUCUCGGUGAUAGUGGGUCAUGGUUGUGUAUGAGGUAAUAUAUCAGUGUCAAAUAACGUGUAAAGCACGUGGCUCGCAAGUCAAAAAGAAAACAGUAAAAAGGAAAAAGCAAACAGUAAUAAAAUUAUUAAAGACAAUAAUGCAAACAAUAAGACAAUAGUGAAAUAAAAUAACAAUAAAGUAAAAGGAUAUUUAUAGGUAGUUGCGACUGUGGCUCACAUCUUCCUCUGGUUUUCGUCCAGAAACGGCUUGAACGCCCUCUAUGGGUCGAGGAUAGGCUUCCUAUCCAGUUUUCUUAUAAACUGGCAAACAGCGUCGUUUAUAGUCAGAUUCCCAAGACUAUAUCGUGCAUGCUCUUUCUGGAAUAAUGGCCAUAACUGGAGAAUCGCUCCUUGCACAUAUCCACUGGGAUGCGUUUCAAGAGACAAAAGGAUAUCAUCCAAUGACUCCUUAAUCAAGCCAUCCCUAAUGAAUUGAAUCUUAUUUUUCCUGUUAUCAGACAUCAUUCCUAAAGAACAUGGGUUUUUAUUGCAACUCAUUCUAGCACACUUAUGACAAGCAACAGAAAUUCUUCGAGCUCGUCGUUUUCUUGCAUAAUUUCCUUUACCACAACCAGGCAUGUAUGCAAUAAAUUUUGGAGGUAACUCACCUGCCGAUCGUACUUUAGCCUCGAUUAACCAACGGAUGUCAGCAGGUAUGUUAUUCCUCAUGAAUAAUCGCAUGCGUUUGGACCGAGCUUUAUAGAUCGUAAGGAGGGCAUUCUGAGGAAGUGAAGGGAAUCGCUUGUAAAGUUUCUCUAGAAUCUCGUUUCUGUCCAUACCUUCGCCUCAGAAUAUCAGUUAUUAUGGGAAACUGAAGUAACCGACUUGAUUGUCACGGAGUACCGUUAUCCGCCACUUCACCGGGGUAACAAACUAAAGCACACAAACAAAAAAACAAAUUAAAACACACAAAGAAAAUUAAAAUCGUCCUCUUAUUGAAUUUACCUCAAGCUCCAACUGGAUGUCGUAAACACUUCUCUCAAUGUCUCUGAGUUGGCUUUCUAAACCCUCAACAUAGGCUACUAACUCUGGUGGUUGUAGAGCCCAAAUGCGAUGUGUUUUACAAAAUUGAAUCUGCCUUUUGAGAUGAGUUUUGACACGUUGAAGUGGUUUAAGAAUGUUCAGGAGGAACGGUCUAAGUAAGGUACUCAUGAUUAAAAACGAUAAAAGAAAACUUAAUAGUUAAACAAACACACUUAUGCAAAAAUAAUUUCAAUUAGCAGAAGAAUAAUAUAAAGAAAGAAAAAAAAUUAAAUCAACGAAAAGAAAAAAAAUCAAUUCAAAUCUAGUGGGUCACUCAAAUUUAUUUCGGUGUCUUCUCCAUGUGGUUGUUAUUCUAGAUAUGGCUUUAAUCUUUGACCAUUAACUUUAAACGUGACACCGUUCUUUGGGUCCUUAAUUUCAAUUGCCCCAUGUGGAAAAAUAGUAUGAACAAUAAAUGGGCCAGACCAACGAGAGCGUAACUUACCUGGGAAUAGGUGCAAGCGAGAAUUGAAUAAAAGCACUUUCUGACCUGGAGUGAAUGAUUUUCUCAUAAUUUGCUUAUCAUGGAAGACUUUCAUUCGUUGCUUGUAAAUCUUGGCAUUUUCGUAUGCAUCAUUGCGAAUUUCUUCAAGUUCUGCCAGUUGUAAUCUUCUUUUUGAGCUGGCUUGCUGCAUGUCAAAAUUGAAUUUCUUGAUGGCCCAAUAUGCACGAUGCUCGAGUUCCACAGGUAGGUGGCAAGCUUUUCCAUACACUAGCCUGUAGGGUGACAUCCCAAUCGAGGUCUUGAAAGUCGUUCUAUAUGCCCAUAAUGCAUCAUCAAGUCUUAAUGACCAAUCUUUCCUGUCUGGCCUCACCGUCUUUUCUAAUAUGUGCUUUAUUUCUCGAUUGGAGAUCUCAACUUGGCCACUGGUUUGCGGAUGAUACGGGGUCGCCACUUUGUGUGUGAUUGAAUACUUUGUCGAAAGAGCCUUAAAUGCUUUGUUACAAAAGUGGGCACCACCAUCGAUGAUUAUUGCUCGAGGGAAUCCAAAGCGCGAAACAAUGUUGCUUUUCAAAAAUCCUAUUACCACCUUGUGAUCAUUGGUUCUACAUGGAAUUACUUCUACCCAUUUCGAUACGUAGUCAACAGUAACCAAUAUGUAUUGAUGACCAAAAGACGGGGGAAAGGGUCCCAUGAAGUCGAUACCCCAUACGUCAAAAAUCUCAACCACUAAAAUUGGAUUUAGUGGCAUCAUGUUCCUUCGCGUAAUGCUCCCCAUUCGUUGACACCUAUCACAUGAAGAACAGAAAGUGUAAGCAUCUCGAAAUAUAGUUGGCCAAUAGAAACCACAUUGUAAAACUUUAGUCGCUGUUUUCUUAACACUGAAAUGGCCUCCACAAGCUUGUUCAUGGCAGAAUGAAAGAAUAUUCUGAAUUUCAUUUUCUGGGACACAUCGUCUAACAAUUUAAUCCGCACAAUAUUGAAUAAAUACGGGUCAUCCCAAAAGAAAUUUUUUAUUUCUGCAAAGAAUUUAGCUUUGUCUUGCUUGGUCCAAUGCUCUGGAAGUUUACCUGUAACAAGAUAAUUAACUAUAUCAGCAUACCAUGGUAAUACUUCCACACUCAUUAAUUGUUCAUCUGGAAAUUACUCAUUCAAUAUUAAUGGCUCUGUAAUUGAGUCAAAAUGGAGACGAGAGAGGUGGUCCGCCACAACAUUUUCUGUGCCUUUCUUAUCUUUAAAUUCCAAGUCAAAUUCCUGCAAAAGUAACACCCAACGAAUUAGUCUAGCUUUUGCAUCUUUCUUUGUGAGAAGAUAUUUAAGAGCAGUAUAAUCUGUGAACACAAUUAUUUUAUAACCAAUGAGAUAAGAUCGAAAUUUUUCUAAUGCAAACACUACUGCUAGCAUUUCUUUUUCAGUAGUUGAAUAGUUCAACUGUGCAUCAUUCAAUGUCAUACUAGCAUAGUAAAUAACAUGGGGAAUUCGAUUAACUCUUUGUCCUAAUACUGCUCCUACUACAUAAUCAGAUACAUCACACAUGAGCUCAAAUGGUAAGCUCCAAUUUGGGGGCUGAAUGAUGGGUGAUGAUGUCAACAACUGCUUCAAUUUUUCAAAUGCCAAGAGACAUGAAUCAUUAAAGACAAAAGCUACAUCCUUAGCAAGUAGAUUGCAUAAGGGUCUAGAAACUUUGCUAAAAUCUUUAAUGAAACGUCUAUAGAAACCAGCAUACCCAAGGAAAGACCUUACUUCUCUGACUGUUUUAGGUGGAGGAAGAUUAGAAAUGAGAUCCACCUUGGCUUUGUCAACCUCAAUACCUUUGUUCGAAAUGAUGUGACCGAGAACAAUACCUUGUUUUACCAUAAAAUGGCACUUCUCCCAAUUCAAGACUAAGUUCUUCUCGGUACAUCUCUGCAGAACUAGCGUUAGAUAAUGUAAACAUUGAUCAAACAAGUCACCAAAAACAAAAAAGUCAUCCAUAAAGACUUCAAGGAAUCGUUCAACCAUAUCAGAAAAAAUGCUCAACAUGCAUUGUUGAAAUGUAGCAGGUACAUUACAUAAUCCAAAUGGCAUCCUCCUAUAUGCAAAUGUGCCAAAAGGGCAAGUGAAAGUGGUUUUCUUCUGAUCUUUUGGUGCUAUUGGGAUCUGAUUGUAUCCUGAGUAGCCAUCUAGAAAGCAAUAAAAUUCAUGGCCUGCUAAUCUAUCAAGCAUUUGAUCGAUAAAUGGUAAAGGAAAAUGGUCUUUACGUGUGACAGAAUUCAAUUUUCUAUAAUCAAUGCAUACACGCCAUCCUGUAGUUACUCUAGUUGGUAUCAAUUCAUUAUCAGUAUUGGUAACUACUGUGACUCCUGACUUUUUUAGGACAACUUGUACAGGACUGACCCAUGAACUAUCAGAAAUGGGAUAAAUGAUACCUGCAUCUAAUAGCUUAAGGACUUCAGUUCUAACAACUUCUUUCAUGUUAGGAUUUAACCGACGUUGCAUUUCCCUAGUAGGUUUAGCAUUUUCAUCAAGGUGAAUGUAAUGCAUGCAGUCUACUGGGUUUAUACAUUUUAUGUCCGCUAUGGUCCAUCCUAAUGCUCCUUUGUGCUCUUUUAAAACAUCCAACAACUUACCUUUUUGUUCGUCAUUUAGGGAUGAUGAGUUGAUUACCGGUAGAGUACUUUCUUCUCCCAAAAAUGCAUAUUCCAAUGUGUUGGGCAAUGGUUUGAGCUCGAGUUUCGGUGGUGAUUCUGAUGAUGGGGUGAGUUUCUUUUCUGAUGGUGCUAGUUGUUCAACUCUUGACUUUCAUUUAUUAGUGUCCAUGGAUGGUGUUGAGUCAAGCAGGGCGUUGAACUCAUCGAUUGAUCUGUCAAUAUCAAAAUCAAAACCAAAGUAAGUUAAGCAUGUCUGUAAAGGAUCAUCACUAAGGUUUGAAAUAAAAGUGUCAUCAACUAAUGCUUCAAUUAAAUCCACAUCAACAAUUCCAUCAUCUGCAUUAUGAGGUUGUUUGGCAAUGUCGAAGAUGUUCAGCUCCAUAGUCAUGUUGCCGAAGGACAACUGCAUAUUUCCGGUCCUGCAUUGAAUGUGAGCAUCCGCGGUUGCCAAGAAAGGUCGGCCUAAAAUAAUGGGGAUGUGCUUCCUUGAAUCCUGUAUUGUUUGAGUGUCAAUUACAAUGAAAUCAACAUGAAAAAAAAACUUGUCUACCUGGAUAAGCACAUCCUCCACAAUACCACGAGGUAUUUUCGUGGACCGAUCUGUAAGUUGUAACACCACUGGAGUUGGGUGUAAUUCUCCAAGUCCAAGUUUCACGAAUACAAAGUAAGGUAAAAGAUUUACACUAGCUCCUAAAUCCAACAAAGCAUUCUCAAUUGUGUGGUUCCCUAUACUACAUGAGAUAGUGGGGGAGCCUGGGUCUUUGCAUUUUAGAGGAAUUUUAUGUUGGAGGAUAGAACUAACAUUUUCUGUUAAAAAUGCCUUCUUUUGAACAUGCAUAUUUCUCUUUUUAGUACAAAGGUCUUUAAGAAACUUGGCAUAAGAUGGAACUUGCUUUAUAGCAUCAAGUAAAGGGAUGUUAACACUUACCUGUUUGAAGAUUUCAAGAAUCUCACAUGUGGAUUUUCCCUUCUUUUCUUUAGCUAACCUUUGAGGAAAUGGAGCUUUAGGAAUGUAUUCCCGUGGGUUGGUUUCUUUUUUCUCCUCCGGUGAUGAGUCCUCAACAUUCACAGGUACAAUUUGAUUUUCUUUUGUCACCGGCAUCUCCACUUUGUUGUCGACUUCUUUUCCUUUUCACAAGGUCAUGACUGCUUUGACUUCUCCAUGCUGCUGUGGUGAACUGGUACUUGCUUCAUGCACUCCUUUAGGAUUAGGCACUGGUUGACUUGGAAACUUACCUUUCUCAACGGUCAUUGCCAAUGUCUGAACUGAAGAAGCAAGUUGUCCCACCAUCUUCUCGAGGCUUGAAACUGAUUGAGCUUGUGAGUUGAAGCCUGCUCUCAACUCAUUUCGUAGUCCAUCAAUGGUGCGAUUCUGUUGCUCAAUUGUGGAGUGAGUCAGAUUCUUGAAAUUCUAGAAUGCAUCCUCCCAUGGUCUGGGUUGAAAGUAGUUCUAGUUCUGAUUGUAUGGUCUAAAUGGAGGCUGAGAAGCUUGAGGAUUUUGAGGAAUUGGUGGAGCUAGAGCUGCUGGUCCAUUCUGUUGGAAUCCUUGAGACCAUGAAAAAUUGGGGUGGUCUCUCCAUCCAGGGUUAUAUGUGUUGGAGUAUGGGUUGUAAUUUGAUGGCUUUCUCAUUACACCUAUGGCAUUGGCUUGAUCUGAGUAUGAGUCAUGGUCAUGUGGUUCUGUUGAUUUAGCAGUCGAUAACGAUGCUAUUUGUCGAGCAAGACCUUCAACUAUCUCCUUGACUUCUUUGAUUCCCGAAGUUGACUCGCCAAUGUGAACCUCAUUCACUCCUUUAAUUCUUCUAGUAUUCCUGAGUGAUCGACUCCGUUGUUGGGAAUUAUCCGCUUGUCGCUAGAAGAAUUCCCAAAUUUCUGAUGCACUUUUUGACAUUAGCUCUCCUCCACUUGUUGCCAUUAGCCAUUCUUGCACAUUUGGCAAUAAUCCCUUCAAAAAGUAUUGGCAUUGGUGCCAUUUCUCGUACCCAUGAUGUGGACACUUCAAGAGUAGCCCAUUAAAUCGCUCCCACGUUUCGAAAAACUGCUCGACUUCUCUCUGGGUAAACUCCGAGAUUUCGGUACGAAUAGCAUUGGUUUUAUGCACUGAGAAAUAUUUAUUCAAAAAUUUCGUUACCAUUUGUUCCCAUGAUGAAAUGCUAUUAGCAGGUAAAGUAUUUAACCAUGAACGAGCUCUAUCCUUUAAAGAAAAUGGGAAUAAUCUGAGUUUAACAUUAGGGGUGGGUAAAAUAUCCGACCCAACCCGAUCCGAUCCGAAAAAUUUCGGGUUCGGAUCGGAUCGGGUGAGGAACAAAACCCGAUCGGAUGAAAUUAUCUCAACCCAAUCCGAAAACCCGAUCGGGUUGAGACAAAAAAAAUUGGGCAAAUACAAAUUACAAAAUUACAAAUCACAUAAUACAAUUAUACAAAUACACAGUACACACAUGACUGAUGACACACUCACAAUCACUGAAUCAGUAAAGAAUACAGAUCACACCUUACAGACUCACAGUGUCACAGACUCACGCCUCACGGAAUUACACUUUUACAGUAAUUCACAAAUUCACAAUUCAGUAAUUCACUCCAAACUAUUCAGUAUUCACCGCAACAAAGCAAUUUAGUAAUUCACAAAGAAAUUAAGAAAAGAACACAAGCAAAGUAACAACUCACAAACCCUCACGACCUCACUCACUCAGACACUCACCAGUCACCGCCUCACGGUAUCACAAAGACACAAACCCUCACUGUCACACACAAAAUCAACAUCACUGAAACCAGCACUCAAGCCGUCAAGCACAAGCAGCCAACCCACACCUAUUCACCCAUUCACCCAAGCAACCAACCCACCACACGCAGCAACCGCUGCCGAGAACGACCCCAACCGAAGCCAAAGCUGAUUCGCGAAGAUCGUGACCCGAUCUACAGAUCUGCUGCUACCAAGUGCCAGAUCCACGCCUUGAAUCCUCCACUCCACCAUCACUCAGUCCGAUUGAAGAUCCACCCAGCAAGCUGCCUCCGAUCCACUCGAGUCUCCACCAUUGGCAUUCACGGGUCACGGGCUCACGGCUGUUGAGUGUUGACAUCCGGCCACCACACCCAUUCACGGUCACGCCUCACGGGUCACGGACUCACAGUCACGGCUCUAGUCUCAAAAGCCAAAAGGUCUCUUUACUCUCUGUUUUGGAAGUUGGGAAUUGGAACUUGGAAUUGGAAGUUUGGAACUUGAAGCCCGAACCGAAUCAGCAAAUCCGGAUUUUGAACUUGUUUAAGUGAUGGUAUAUCCGUAUAUAAUAUAUAAUUAUAUAUGCAUUAAUGAUUAAUUAUAAUUGUUAUUUUUUAUAUGUUAUUUGAGAAAUGUUAAUUGUAGCUUUGUAUGUUAAUUAUAUAUUGUUAAAUGUUAUCAAUAAAAUGAAAAUAAUCCGGCAUUAAUUUUCUCUUACUUAUUGAUAAUUGAUUUUUUGUAUGAAUAGUAAUGUUAGAUUAAAAAUUAAAAUUAAAUAUUAUGUUACAAUAUAAAUUAUAAUUAUAUAUGUCAUAUGAUAUGUGUAUUUGUAGAAUAGUUUCAACUUCAACAAAAAAUUAACCAAUUUAAUUGCAGUAGUUUCAAGUUUCAACUUCAACAAAUAAUUAAUCAAUUUAAUUAAUUGCAUGAUAACCAAUAAGUAAAUAUUAAAUGGUUAAGUACAUAUAAUGUGGGCAUAAUAAGAAUUAAGAAUUUAAGAUACGGAUAUGUAAUUAAUAUUAUUACUUUGGCCAAUGGAUAAUUAGAUAUUAUAAAUUAAAUAAUUACAUUAAUUUCUUGGUUUUCUUUUAUGGAAUAUGCAUCUUGAAUUCUUGAUCAUAUAUAAACAUUAUGGUGGAAAAUUGGAAAUAUCAAUUUCAAAAAGUUUCAUAAAAUUAAAUUAACAAUUAUUUGAAUCAAUUUGUAAUACUAACUAUUAAGUAGAUUUUUUAAUAGUCUUUUUGUGUUUUAAUUUAUGAAUUAAUGAUUAAUAAUUAUUUAUUUGUAUGUUCAUUUCUGUAUGAUCAUUUCCCCAACUAUUAUUUGAAUAAUUAUUUAGUGCCGUUCAUUGCAAUUCCUAUAUGAUCAAUGACUUUUUUUUUUUAUUUUAUAUGAUAGCUUGCAAUCCCUGGUGUGUGUUGAUAGUGCCUUACAUGAAUACAAAAAUGAAUAAUUUUUUUUUUUGGGGGGUUAAAUUUGUAUUGACAAUUGACAAAUUCUGCAAGUGCACAAGCCACAAAUGCUUGUUUUAUAAAGGACAUGCACGUUCAUAUUGUUAUUGCCAAAAUGAACACAACCCUAAUUUAUUUUAAUAUGAACAAAAUUUUUGUAAGCAUGCUUGGUGCAAGAUUCAUUAUGAGCCUCAUAAUCAACAACACAAAAUAGAAAAGAUAAUUUCAUGUGACUUUUACAAUCUUUUCAGCACCAAAACCCCUCAGGAAAAAAUACAAUAAAAUUAUAAUAAAUUAAUUUCCUAAUUUCACCUCCCCAAUUGCCAAAUUAAUUAUAACCCGAAUUGAUCCGAAUUUAACCCGAACCCGAAUUAACCCGAAUCCGAUCCGAUUACACCCGACCCGAAUUAACCCGAAUUCAUCCAAAUAACUCGAUUUUAAUCCGAACCCGAAUUAACCCGCAUCCGAUCCGAUCCAAACUCCACCCGAUUUUUUAACCCGAUCCGAAUUAAAUUCGGAUCGGGUUAUACGUUCGGGUAGAGUUCGGAUCGAUUUUUAUCCAACCCGACCAACCCGAAACCCGAUUGGGUUGAUCCGAACCCGACCCGAACCCGAUUUUGCCCACCCCUAUUUAACAUCAUUGUCUAAAAAAUUUUCAUAUUUAAAAGUUUGACAAAUGGCAUGAAAAUCAUUCAGAUGAUUAUAUGGGUCCUCAUUUUUUAGGCCAUAGAAUGUUGGGAGACAAUUUAGCACACUAGGUUUUAGUUCAAAACUCCUAGCAGCUACAUUUGGGUAUCUUAUGCAUGAUGUGCUCAAAUUAGCUAAAGGACUGAAGUAGUCCUUAAAUGGCUUCUCCUGUGGUUGCAAAUCCAUUUUAUUUUUAACGUGCUUUUGUAUGCGAAGUGUUUUUUCUAGUUCAAGGUCUAUAGGUUCAAGAUUAGGUAAUAAUGACCUACGAACAUGCAUGCAAAACAAAUAAAAUAAAAAUAAAAAUGGGAACAAAACAAAUAAAAAUAAAGAAGAGGGAGAAAUUACGAUACUAACCUUAUUGCGCUAUUACAACCUUACUAUAAAAAUACACAAAAACAAAUACGUGAAAUAAAUUAACUAAAAAUAAAAUUAAUAAAUUAAACAAAAAUAACAAAGAAAAAAUAAAUUGAAAAUUAAAUUACAGAAUUUUAAAGAAGAGAAAAAGAAAGAAAUACUAACCUUUAUAUGUAGAUUCACUUUUUUCUUUUUUUUAAUAAUUAAAAAAAUACAAGAAAACAAAUAAAAGAAAUUAUUCACAAAAAUUAAUUCUAUGAAUUAAAAUUACUUACCACCCCGGCAACGGCGCCAAAAACUUGUUGUGCAAAUUUUAAUGUACUCGCAAGCGCACGAAUCUAUUGUAGUAUAGAUCAAUGGUGACAAGUGUCGAUCCCACGAAGAGGUGGAUUUUAAUUGUGUGUAGAAUUAAUUUUGUAAAUGGGUGAUAAGAUUUGUGGUGGAAAUAAUUUGGAAUAUGCUUAAAUUAAAAUGGCGAGAAUAAAUUUUGAAAUUGGAAUUGAAAUGGCGAGAAUAAAUUUAAGAGAAUUAUAUUGAAAUAACGUACUUGGGUAUCUGGAUCCGUAUCAACAUGCAUCAUGGCCUAAAUAUUCAUUAUUAAUGCUAAUUAAAUCAUGAGAGGGGAAUCCACACCUCAUGAACCACGCUCUAAUCAAUAUGGUGCUAAGGGCUUAUCGUGCCAAAUAAUAAUAACCUUGUACUAAGGGGCCGAUGAAACCAAGGCGGUACUAGAAAAGAUUAGUAUUAUUUGUCGACGAAAAGUCAAAACAUCCACAAAAAUUAGAGGGGAAGAGAAAGUAAAUUUACCAAAUAAAGCCCAUGACACAUGUUGAGACUUCACCUUCAACCCAAGCUUGAAAGAAAGUUAGCUACUCAUAAUUGAACUAGGGGCAAAAUAGAAAUUUAUUGAAACACGUAGAAAAUACAAGAUGGAGAAGGAAUUACAAAAAAUGGAUCCCAAAAAUGGAUUCAGAGAUCUCAAAUUAGGGGGGAGAGGCCCUUUUUUAUAGAUACAUGGAGUAAAUCAUGGCCAUCGGAUUAAAAACAGUUUGGACGCUCAAGAUUGCGCCACGUCAUCAGUCAACAGUAUGCGGUUUGACCACGCGGAUGAACAGUAACACAGUUUGACUCGGGUGAACAGUUACGCGGUUUGGUUGAAAAUAAUCCUGUGUGAUGCAUGUACCGUACGCGAGAUUUUUAGUCCACUAAUAUGCUGCCACGUCACCAUCAACAGUACAUAAGAAUUUUAGCCCAACAGGAUCGUGAAACCUCAUCAGUCAAUACCACAUCAUCGGUCAAUGCCACAUCAUCGUCCAUCUAUGUGAACAGUGUCGUGAACAGUAACGUAUAAAGUACCGUACACGUGAAUAGUACCGUACAUGCGAAUAGUGUCAUUUUUCCUUUUAUGCUCCUCCUAAGGUUUUUGACCGUCCUGAGUUCAAAAGUGAUGUCUGUUUUGCCGUCUGAUCUCUCCUUUAUUGUGAAAUGAUGAUAAUACCCCUAAAAUACAUAAAAUACUUAAUUAAAAUAAAACACAUGUAAUUAAAUCACAAGAAGGUUAAAUACAUAAAAGUAAGGGUUGUUAGUAAGACUUGAAAUGUAAAAUGAUGGUUUUCUCCUUUAUAAAUAUGCAUUUUCUAACACUCAACAGCCAUCACAUGCUUACACUUAACAAUACGACUUUGCUGAGUGCCGUUUUGAAGCCUUCAUUUAACGUGAAGCAAACACGUGGCUCAGAGGUUGUUAUGUUCUGUUACAAGAGCGGGAAAAAAUCUGGGUUUUGGGUUACAGAGGAUAGCUGACUAUUGGGGGAGAUUUCUGGGCUCUCUUAAGCGUGUAUAUAUAGCCUUAAGAGAUAAGAAAUCAGUGCGUGUGAUUCUUGUAACUUCAUCUAUAAUCUUGUAUCUUGUUCCUGGUGAUUGAAUAAAGAUUGUUGCUCUGUUCUUCAGUGGAUGUAAGCCAUCUCCAGGCUGAAACACUUAAAUCUGUUUUUCCUUUGGUUAUUGUUUCUUGCUUCUUCUAUGUAUCUUUUGUGGUUGCUUAAAUAUUUCUUAGCCAAGCAUCAGAGUGUUUAGAUAAAUCUUAGGGAGUCUUGAUUGGUUCAAUUUGAUCAAGGUCUAACAAAUUGGUUUCAAAGCCCAAUAAUUCUGAUCUUUGAUCCAAGAAAUGGCAACCUCUAAGUUUCAAGUAGAAAAAUUUAAUGGAGAGAAUGACUUCCAUUUAUGGCAGCUCAAGAUGAGAGCAUUAUUAGUUCACCAAGGGCUUGAAGAAACAUUGGGGGAUCCAAGAUCUGAAAAGAAGCCCAAAAAGCUCAGUGAAGAAGAAAUGCAAGAUGCUUUAGAUAAGGCUUAUAGCACCUUAAUCUUGAGUUUGGGUGAUGGAGUUCUGAGGGAAGUGGGAGAUCAAACAACUGCUGCAGGCCUCUGGAAGAAAUUAGAAGAUCUAUAUACGAAAAAGUCUCUAACCAAGAGACUAUGCACCAAGAAAAGGUUGUAUACAUUGCAGAUAGAGGAGGGUAGCUCUCUGGCAAAUCACAUUGAUAAUUUCAACAAAAUCAUUCUUGAUCUUGAAGAUAUCAAUGUGAAACUGGAAGAUGAAGACAAGGCAAUAAUCUUGUUAUCAUCUUUCCUACCUUCCUAUAAACAUUUUGUGGACACAUUGCUAUAUGGAAGACAAUCAAUAACCAUGGCUGAUGUGAAAGAUUCUCUCAAUUCAAAAGAGGUUACAAGGAAGUCAGAAGCAAAGGAUGAAGAAGGCCUAACAACAAGGGGUAGACUAUAGAAGAAGGAUUACAGUAACAAGAACAGAAAACGCAGCAAAUCAAAGUCAAAGAAUAAAAAUCUGAAAUGGUUCCAAUGCCACAAGGAGGGACAUUUCAAGAAAGACUGUCCAGAGAGAAAGAACAAAGAAAAAGAUGGACCCAAAAAGAAUGGUGAUGAUGUUGUUGCAUCAGAAGAAAAGGAUUAUGAAGGCUAUAACUCAACUGGUGUUCUUCUAGUCACUAGAACUCAAACCAAUGGUAAGUGGGUGUUGGAUUCUGGAUGCACUUAUCACAUGUGCCCUAAUAAAAAUCUUUUUUUCCAGCUAUAGACCUUUUAAUGGUAUGAAAGUUAUGAUGGGAAACAACUCACUUUGUAAAGUAGUUGGACUUGGAACCAUUAGGCUUAAGAUGUUUGAUGGGGUGAUUAGGGAAUUAAGUGAAGUAAGGCAUGUUCCUGAGCUAAAAAGAAACUUAAUAUCCCUAUGAAUCCUUGAUCAAAUGGGUUGUAUCAUUAAAAUAGAAUCUGGGGUUAUGAAGAUAAUUAGAGGGUCCGUGGUGAUAAUGAAGGGAGCCAAAAAUAAUGGCUUGUAUGUGCUGCAAGGGACAGCCAUUACAGGGGAUGUUAGUGUCUCAACUAGUAAGAAUCCAAACAAAACACUAAUGUGGCACAUGAGAUUGGGGCAUAUGAGUGAAAGAGGGAUGAAGAUAUUAGAAAAACAGAGAGUCUUGGGGGAUGAUAAGAUAGGUCCUGUUAAGUUCUGUGAGGUAUGUGUCCUAUGUAAAUCCUCUAGAACUAGCUUCAAAACUGCAGUGCAUAAGACCAAAGGGACCUUAGAUUACAUCCACUCUGAUCUGUGGGGACCAGCACAGACAACUUCUUUAGGUGGAGCUAAAUACUUCAUAUCCUUAAUUGAUGACUAUUCUAGAAUGGUUUGGGUGUAUCUCUUAAAGGGUAAGGAUGAAGUCUUUGAGAAGUUUAAGCAGUGGAAAGCACUGGUAGAAACACAAACAGGUAGAAAAGUCAAGAGGCUAAGGACUGAUAAUGGUUUAGAAUUCUGCAAUCAACAGUUUAAUAAAUUAUGUGCUCAGAAUAGAGUUGUAAGACACAAGACAGUAAGGCACACUCCACAGCAAAAUGGACUUGCUGAGAGGAUGAAUAUAACUCUCAUGGACAAAGUAAGAUGUCUGCUAAUUCACUCAAAACUUCCUCAGUCCUUAUGGGCUGAAACACUGAUGAAAGCUUGCUAUUUAGUAAAUAGAAGUCCAUCCAGUGCUAUAGACUUUAAAACACCUAUAGAAAUGUGGUCAGGCAGAGCUGCUAACUAUUCUGAUUUGAAGAUAUUUGGCUGCCCAGCAUUUGCACAUAUAAAGUAAGGAAAGCUUGAGCCUAGGGCUCUGAAAUGUGUCUUUCUUGGAUAUCCAGAGGGUGUGAAGGGCUAUAGGCUCUAGUGUACUGAUCUAAAACCACCCAGGUGCAUAGUUAGUAGAGAUGUGGUUUUCAAUGAACAAGAAAUGCUUAAGAGCUAUGUACAGAAGCUUGAAGAUUCAAACAAUGACACUGGUUUACUGAGAAAUCAGAUUAAGGUGGAGCUUAUUGGAAAAUCUUAAGAUACAACCUCAUAUGAGACAUCAGAAGAUGAGGAAAGAAAUACAAAAAAUUCUGAUGAAACUUCAGAAAAACAGACAACAUUGCAUGAUUAUCAACUAGCCAGGGAUAGAGAAAGAAGAGUUAUAAAGGCACCAAAGAAGUAUGCAUAUGCAGAUCUGAUUGCAUAUGCAUUGACAGCAGCUCAUGAACUGGACUAUGAUGAACCUAAAUCCUACAAGGAAGUUGUUUCAGGGAAGAAUGCAGACCAGUGGUUGGAAGCCAUGAAGGAAGAAAUGGAUUCUUUGUAUAAGAAUGACACCUGGACACUUGUGAGAAAACCAGACAAGAAAAAAGUGGUAAGAUGCAAAUGGGUGUAUAAACUCAAGCAGGGUAUCACAGGAGUGGAACCAGUAAGAUUCAAAGCCAGACUUGUUGCAAAGGGCUUCACUCAAAAGAAGGGCAUUGACUUUACUGAGGUAUUUUCACCUGUAGUAAGACAUGCCUCUAUAAGAAUCAUCUUGUCACUGGUGGCUGUAAACAACAUGCAUUUAGAACAAAUGGAUGUAAAAACAGUAUUCUUACAUGGGGAAUUACAAGAGUAUAUAGUAAUGGCUCAGCCUGAAGGUUUCACAGAUAAAUCAAAGGUUGACUGGGUUUGUCAUCUGAAGAAGUCUCUGUAUGGACUUAAACAGUCCCCAAGGCAGUGGUAUCUCAGAUUUGAUAGCUUUAUGUUAGAGUAGAAAUUUCAGAGGUGCAACUUGGAUUGUUGUGUUUACUUCAGAGAGGAUUCAGGCAUGAUGAUUUACCUGGUAUUGUAUGUAGAUGACAUGCUUAUUGCCAGUGUAAGCAUGAGCUUAAUUGAAAACCUAAAACAGAAGCUGAUGGUUGUCGAAGCCAACAAAAAUAAAUACCUACUCUAAAUAAAUUGUGUAUAGUGAUUGAGCAGGAUCGUGUCCACAGAGAUUGGUAAUUAUUUAAAUCCUUUUGAAACGUAAAACGUAAAAUGGGGGAAUUGUUGACAAUAAUAAAAAUCAAAUUAAAAUAACAAGAAUGCAAAUUAAAGUUGUAAUUCAAAUUAGAGAAAGCUCUGGUUGAAGGAAUUAACUCAGCUUGAUUCGACUACUGAUCAUUGAUUCAAAUAUAGAUUAUUAUUACUUAUGAAUAGACCGGUUAUAGCUACUGAGACCCUCUAAUAGCCAAUCUCUCCUUAACUAGUCGAUAACCAAGGUAUGACCGUUGGUUAUUUCCCUAAUCAAUAGACAACCCUAGAUACGAUCAUAGGAUUUAAUCAAUUGACAGCCUGAAAGACCAGAGAGACCCAAAUCUUAAUCAACACAUACGAUAAUUCAUUUAAAUUAAAUUAUUUAUUCUCAUAACAAAACUCAUUGCUAUGUUAUUUGUCACAAACAUUAAAAUCUUCAUACGAUGAAUCCUUUAAUUAACAAUAGAUUAAGUUGAUAAUUAAAUAGUGGCCAAUUACCUAAUUAACAAACAUAAUCAUGAAAUUAAUUCAGAGAAUAAACAAAUACCCAAAAAGUAAUAAAACAAUUAAAGCAUAAGAAAGAUCUCAUAGUAGUGAUGAAUCAAAGAUUCAUUAACCUUCAACUAGAAAAAUAGGUUUAGUUCUUCAUAGAGAGAAGAGAAAAGUUUAGAUCUAGUGUUUCUUUCUUUUUCUCCAAUCCCCUUUUUUUCACAAUAGAUUCCUCCCUUAAAUCCUCUCUCUCUAUUCUCUUUUAGAGUUCUAUUUCAAAUAAAAUACUAAUAUCUGAAAUAUUAAAUUUGUAAUUAUAAAAAUAACCAAAAAUACAAAACACGUUAAACUAAAAGUUGUAGGUCCGCAAUUGACAGCACGUGCCCACGCCUUAUCAACAAAGUUCUUCUGACGCUCUAAAUUUCUCCAAAAGAACAAUCAUCUUUAAACAUCAUCUUAUAGCUCAAUUUUAUCACAAAUCAAUAGAAUUGCACCUACAAAAGUAAAACACAAGUAAAUCAUUAUUAUUAAAUGCAAAACAUCGAUAUUAAGGGAAGUAAACAAUGCAAAACUAGUGCAUAAAUUACACUCUAAGAGAAGCUUAAAGGAGAGUUUGACAUGAAGGAUCUUGGUCCAGCAAAGAAAAUUCUGGGAAUGCAGUUACAUGGAGAUAGAAAAACUGGUACUUUGUUUCCAGUUAGGGAGAAUACAUCAUAAGGGUAAUUGACAAGUUUGGAAUAGCAAACUCAAAGCCUGUUCAAACACCCUUAGCUCCUCAUUUCAGAUUAUCAGGUCAGUUGUGUCCAAAAACAGAAGCUGAAAUAUCUGAGAUGAUGAAUAUACCUUAUACAAGUGCUGUAGGCUGCCUGAUGUAUGCUAUGGUCUUAACUAGGCCUGAUUUAUCCUAUGUUGUGAGUGUUGUACACAGGUAUAUGGCAAACCCUGGAAAGGAACACUGGAGGGCUGUAAAAUGGAUUCUCAGGUACCUAAAUGGGACAGCAACAUAUGGAUUAAUGUAUGUAGGACAAAGACAAGAUGACAGUCAGAUUGUUGGUUAUGUAGACUCUAAAUAUGCUGGGGACCUGGACAGAAGAAGAUCACUUACAGGAUACCUUUUCACAUCCAACAACUGCACUGUCAAUUGGAAAGCUCAACUGCAGAGUGUUGGGGCACUUUCAACAAUAGAAGCUAAAUGCAUAGUUGCUGCAGAAGCAGUUAAAGAAGCCAUAUGGCUGAAAGGAAUGCUUAAAGAGCUUGGUGUUGAUCAGAGGUCAAUAAUGAUAAACUGUGAUAGCCAAAGUGCUAUAUGUUUAAGUAAAAAUCAAACACACCAUGAAAUGACCAAGCAUAUUGAUAUCAAGCUUCAUUUCAUAAGGCUAGAAGUGUUAAGAGCAACCGUGAAGCUGCAGAAAAUUCAUACAGAUAAAAAUGUUGCAGAUAUACUGACUAAACCAGUGACAACUGCUAAGUUCAAGCUUUGCUUAGAAUUAGCAAGAAUCUGUCAAAAAUAAGUGACAGAUAGUUGAAGAGAAUAGUAGUAGAUUCAUGAGGGUUUCAAGCUCAAGGUGGAGAAUGUUUAAGUGUGAGCUAUGAAACUGGUUUCCAGAAAUUCAUACGACAUGUCAAUUCGUGAUUGGAACAGAAUACGACUGGUCGGUUAAGGUCAUGCAAAGCUGUAUGACAAAGUUGUUUGUUCAUCCAUCUGUGAGUAAGUGAAGCACGUGGCCAUCACAUGCUUACACUUAACAAUGCGACUUUGCUGAGUGCCGUUUUGGAGCCUUCAUUUAACGUGAAGCAAACUAGGGGUGGCAAAACGAAUAAACGAAUCGAAUCGUAAACGAAUUGGGUCAAAAUUCUAUGGAUUCGGAUUCGAUUCGUUUAUUAAACGAAUUGAAAUUUCAGGAUUCGGAUUCGAUUCGUUUAUUAAACGAAUAUUCGGUUCGAUUCGUUUAAUUCAUUUAAUAAAAUUGAUAAACGAAUCGAACCAAAUCCGGAUUCGUUUAUUAUUCGUUUAUCCUAUACGAAUCCAUAACGAAUCAAAUCAAAUCAGGAUUCGUUUACGAUUCGUUUACAAUUCAUUUAGAAAAUAUAAUUAAUAAACAAAAUUAAUCAAAUCUAUUCAUCAUGUAUGCCAAAUUCUAACCCAGCAAUAUUCUUAAUGCACAAUAAUCCAAUACACAAAAUAUUAACAAUACAACAUAAUAAAUUAUAAAUUCUAAUACAAAAAAAAAAUUAAUCCAAUAUUUGAGGGGGCUUCUUAAUAAACAUUUUUCUGAACUCAUCAUUGGAUUUGGGCUUCAAAUCUUCCCCUUCCUCAGUUUUUGGUUUAAUUGCAGGAAAACCAAGUGGCCUGACGUUUCUUGGCACUGCAAAUGUGUUUUUCCCUUGAGCUGCACGCUGUCACCACGGCCUCUAGACUGUUUGGAAGUCUCAAUGGAUGAUUCUUUGGAUGCCGAUGUCCCAGCAUUUCCAGUCUGCUGGUGAGAUUGUGCUGCAAGUUACACUCAAGUACUUAGAAAAUGAAAAUUGCACAGCCCCAAAGCAAGAACAAGAAGGAGAUGAAAGCAACAAUUAUUCCAUGUUAUAUGAUCUAGUUGCAAUCCAAAGCUCCGAGGGUCGUGCUCGCCUGGGCACUGGUUCGGGUCGCGCUCGCCUGGGUUUGCUGCACCGCCGCACGAGUUAGCUACUGCUGUGGGUUCGAGUGGCUGCUAAUACGUUGCGCGGCUGAUGCUCCUGGGUUGCUGCCGAGUUGCGGACUGCACUCGCGUGGCUGCGUCCCUCAAGCUCAAUCGAUGAUAGAUGAACGAUGGUGGUUGUAAUCGUCGGUUCGCUGUGAGUUAAUGACAGUGGCUACCGGCGGCUGUUUUUGUUGCUUGAUUGCUUCACUUGGUAUGGGUGGGUGAGUGUGAUUCGUGUGAGAGAGGUAGAGAGCAACGAGAGCGGCGGCUGAGUGAGGGGAGAAUUUUUAGGGAUUUAGCUUUAGGUUUCCGCUACUUUGUUUUUUUUUUUUUUUGUUAUUUACUUAAAAUUACAAUAUUAACCUUCAAAUUUUAAAAAGCUUUCAAAUAAAUUUAAGGAUAAAAAAAUAAUUUAAUUAAACAAAUAAUAAACGAAUUUUAAACGAAUCGACCCGUAUUCGAUUCGUUUAUGACCCAUUUAUUAAACGAAUAAACGAAUCUAAAUUUUUAAACCCGCAUUCGAUUCGUUUAAUUAACGAAUCGAAUCGAAUUCACCCAUUUAUUAAACGAAUCAAUUUUUUCAAACCCAAACCCAUUUAAUUCGCAUCGAAUCGAAUCGAAUAAAUGAAUCCUGACCCAUAUUACCACCCCUAAAGCAAACACGUGGCUCAGAGAUUGUUAUGGUCUGUUACAAGAGCGGGAAAAAAUCUGGGUUUUGGGUUACAGAGGAUAGCUGACUGUGAGGGGAGAUUUCUGGGCACUCUUAAGCGCAUAUAUAUAGCCUUAAGAGAUAAGAAAUCAGUGCGUGUGAUUCUUGUAACUUCAUCUAUAAUCUUGUAUCUUAUUCCCGGUGAUUGAAUAAAGAUUGUUGCUCUGUUCUUCAGUGGAUGUAAGCCAUCUCCAGGCUGAACCACUUAAAUCUGUUUUUCCUUUGGUUGCUGUUUCUUGCUUCUUCUGUGUAUCUUUUGUGGUUGUUUAAAUAUUUCUUAGUCAAGCAUCAGAGUGUUUAGAUAAAUCUUGGGGAGUCUUGAUUGGUUCAAUUCGAUCAAGGUCUAACAAUUACUUUUCUCUUGUCAUUGGCCAAUAAUUAUUUGACGAUUUCAAAUACAAAUUACAGAACACCUACUCAAGGCCGGCUUCUCAACAAUGUCAACAAAAGCUUAUCUCCUUAUGCUCUCCACUACAAUUUUUCUUUUGUUCGUUCUUUUUUGGCUUUCGCCCUUCUGUGUUUACAAAAUAGAUUACGAUGGAGACUAUGUAUUGUGUGUUUCUGUAUUCAAGAAACUUCCUCCAAUCUCUUACGGAAACAUGGUUAAAGUUUCAAAUUCUUACAACAGUUUUAAUGAUCAAAAGCACAAGUUGCCAUCGGUAAUCGAUGAAAAAGAAGAUGUGGUGAAACUAAGUGACAAGAACUUUAGUCAUGUUAUAGCCAAGAAUCAGCAUGUGAUGGUGCUUUUUUAUGCACCAUGGUCCCCUUAGAGCAAAAAACUUGCUCCAGAAUAUGAAGCCGCUGCCACUGAGUUGAAGGGAAAAUCAAUGCUAGCAAAAGUUAAUGCUAUGAGCGAGAUAGAGUUGGCGAAAAAAUGGAGAAUUCGAGCAUACCCAACUGUUUAUUUCUUUGUUAAUGGAGUGCAUGUGGAUACUUAUUAUUAUAACAGAACAAAGUGAGUUUUCUUUUUGUUCUUUGAACAUUUCUUUUCUUUUGUUGGAUUUUUUUUUUGUUCAAUAAAACCCUUCUAAAUAUGUUUGGUUGUUGAGAAAGUGUGCAAAAUGAAUAACCUAACCUAACACAAAUUUUGGUUUUGAAGGGAUGCUGUUGUGAAUUAUAUAAAGACUAAGAUGUCUGGUGAUCUUUACAACUUGAUAAAAAUAGAGAAAGCGAAGCACUUUCUAACAGCUGAAUCUACAAUUGCUUUGGGAUUCCUUGACUCUUUAAAGGUCCAUACCCACUCACAUAAUAUGAGCAAUUUCUUAGACUGUUUCUAUUUAAACAUCUCGUAUUGAAUCAUAAAUGUUACAAAAGACUCAAUUCUGUUUGUUAAGGCAUGGAAAGUGAAAAGCCUGCGGCCGCAUCAAAGCUGCAUCCUGAUGUUAUAUUCUUUAAAACUACUAGAGCUAAUGUUGCAAAGAUGUUUCUGAUUGACCCAGAAAUCAAACGCCCUGCUCUAGUCUUACUGGAAAAGGAAUCUAAACAGCUUAGCCACUUUGGUUAGUAUUAGAAGUUAUCUCUCUGCAAAUGAUUUUGAGUGCUUCAAAAUGGAAAAUUUACAAGCCUUGUGCAUUUUUUGCUCCAUUUUCUCAAAUGGUCCAUUUACUGAUGCAAGAAUUUAUGACUUCAUAUCAUUGAAUAAGAUUCCUCCGAUGAUUACUUACACCAGGGAAACUGCUGCAUUGAUUUUAGAUUCCCACUUGCAAGUGGUAAUUAUUAGUUUACAUCAUCUUUACCUUGGAAAAAUUAAAAAAAUUUCAGGUCUUAACGAGUUCAUAAAUUGGUUCUCAGUUAUGGCUUUUUGCGACUGUUCAUGAUUCUGAGACUAAAUCAAUAUUUCAAGAGGCAGCCAAAGCUUUUAAAGGAAAGGUAAAUAUAGAGAUGUAAGCAAAAUUUUGUCGAAACUUGGUUAACAGAAACCCACUGAAAUUAAUAGCCUAUCAAAAUAAUUAUCAUUAUGAUCUUAAAUAAUAAUUGAUGAAAUUAAUUGUUUGCGAGCUUCUCUUUGUGUAUUUUUAAAUGGACUUGUUGCAAACUGAUAGGAGACAAAUUUCUGAUUAUUUUGGUAUCACAGGUCACGCUCCAAGAGUGAGUUCCUUGCUUUAUCUUCAGAUUCUGUUAAAUCUUUAUGACUGCUUUUUUUUUCCUCCAUAAUUAAAUACGAAAAAUUGGGUUGCUUUGCAAAUUUCAACGCAGGUAAUUACUGUCAAUGGCUUUUUCAAUGGCGAGAAGUACGUAUUGCACGGAGAAUUAACCGUAAGCAAUAUAAAGGUGUGCAUAUUUUUCCCCCUUCAUUAUUAUUAUAUGUAUAUCUUUCCUAAUGCUGAAUAAUAAUAGAUGAAAAUUCAAGAUUCUGUCGUGAUAUGAGCUUUUUACUUGUUCUUGCAGUCAUUGGCAUUGGAUUUCUUGGAGGACAAGUUAAUGAACCAGCAGUCAGAUACAACUCUACUGCAAAAUAAGAAAGGUUAUUAAAGAAGCAUUUUGGGGUAUCUGAUCCAAUUUCCAUUUCCCACUUCCCACAAAAUGAUUACUUUAAAAGUGGCUGGGCACAAAAACAAAUGUUGUCCUCUGAAACUUAGACAUCAGAAGUACAAAAUUUUAGUUAUGACUCUAUAUAUUUAUUCGUGGCAUUAGAUUUGAUCUUUUAAAUUAGAAUGUGGAUUCUUUUGCUUUGAGUACUUUUAUGUGCAUGGCCAUGGGCAAAUUCAAUUAUGGCAUUAUUUUAUGGGUAUAAAAUAUCUAGAAAACUAUUAAUUCUCUUAACCCAUUGAUACAAAUGAACAAAGAUAAAACAUGUUGGGGGGAUUUAGCAUAAGAUUUCUAGGUAUCCAAUCCAAAAUACUAGCUUUUUAGGUGAAGUGACCUACCACCUUAUAAACCCAAGCAUCUCCCCUUUACUAGCCAAUGUGGGACACAACUCAACAAUCCCCUCCUCGGACGAAACCACCGCUGGACUCCGGUCCUUUCGUACGACACACCUGAGUUGUUCCACCACCACAUUCCGGCUACUACGGUCUAGCUCUGAUACCACUUGUUGGGGGGACUUAGCAUAAGCUUUCUAGGUAUCCAACCCAAAAGACUAGCCUUUUAGGUGAAGUGACCUACCACCUUAUAAACCCAACCAUCUCCCCUUUACUAGCCAAUAUGGGACACAACUCAACAGUAAUUAAAUGCCCCUCGUGUUAUUUAUUGUCAAAGAUGCGGACAAAAGGCUAAAAAUAUUUUUUUAAAGUAUUUUGAUUUCUAUUCAGAAAUUACAUUAUUAACACAUUGUUGAUAGAAAGGAACCCUCUAGCCUGACAAAGCACAAUCGAUACAGACAAGAUCCAUGUCUAUAUCUCAUAAAACCAUUGUUUCUGUGAACAUCACUAUGGAACAGUACCGGCACUGAAUCUUGAUCAUCUCUUAUUAUAAUCUUUAAAAAACAUCUGCUAGGAAUUUGUAUUAGAAACUUUUUGUAUGUGAAUGGAAUACCUAUAUUUGUUCACAAAUUUAAUUAACUUCUCCAAUUAUUUCUUUCUAGAUCAACUUUAGUAUUUCUGAGACGUAUGCAGAGUUACACAAAUUCACUACCAAUUGGAACAACAAUGUCAAAGACAUAUUGUUAUAAAUAUCACAUACUAACGAAAACUUGCGUCUCUUGCUUUCUCAUUUCAAUUGGGACUAGAGUGACAUUUCUUCUUAGUUCAAAAACGGGAAACAUCUCUGUGUACCGUUUGUGUCACGUUCUCUUAAAAGAAAAAUAUAACCCAAAAGUUCUUGAUUUUGGUAGUUUGGUCUUUGUAUUAGAACUUGCGACGUGUUUCAUGAGAAAAAAUAAUAAAAAUUUGCUCUUAUUUUUCUUGCAAUCUAACAAGGUGCUUGAUCAUUUUGGUUAUCAAUUGAUGUUUAUCUAUUGAAUGCGGUUAUCAAUGAGUUAAAUGAAUAUAAUUAAAGGUCUGAUAGAUAUUUUUAUAUAUAGAACAUAUGCCAUUAUUUAAUGUGACCUCCGCCGCAGUUAAAAGUAGUCAGCAAAAGAAACCCCUGCUAAUGUAAAGGAUCAAAUAUGAAGGCAUGAAUAGUGAUUAACUGGAAUAUCUAAGUUAAACAGCACUUCUUAUUGCAUCCAGUCAUUUUGUGGGAAAGGAAUUUUGAAUCAGAUACACUAAAUUGCUUCUUUAGUCAUCAUAUCUGGUACUGGAAGUCUAGCUAAUAACUUUUGCUGAAGUUGUAUUUGAGAAAGAGUUGUUUUUCACUUUUGGUUCCUCAACUUGUCUCCUAAGAAAUCCAAUGCAAAUGACUGCAGGAUCUCAAAUCAUGACAGAAUUGUGAAUCUUAAGCCAUUUUCUGCAUUAGGAAAAAAAAUAUAAUAACAAUUAUGGUGAAAAGAAUGCAAACCUUGACAUUGCUCAGGGUCAGUUCACCAUUCAAUACAUACUUCUUGCGUUUGCGAAUGCUAGCGACAGCAAUUACCUGCAAGUAAAUUUGUACAGUAACCCAUUUUUUUCAUAUUGAUGUAUAAAAAAAAAGCUACACCACAAUCAUAAAGAUUUCACAUAAUCAAGGUAAAGCAGGAAACUCACUCUUGAAGUAUAACAUGUGACACCGAAAUAGUCAAAAAUUUGUCCCUUAAGUUUCGGGUAAAUUUGUGAAUACACAAAGAGAAGCUGGCAAACAAUGAUCAAGAUAAUAUAAAAUCAUAAUGAUAAAAUUAUUUUGACAGACAAUUAAUUUAAAUAGCUUUCAAUUAUCAAGUUUCAACAAUUUUUGCUUGAGCUCGCUAUAGAGAUUAAUCUACCAAAUACAAGUCUCUGCAUUUACCUUGCCUUUGAAAGCUCUAGCUGUCUCUUGAAAUAUUGAUUUAGCCUCAGAAUCAUGCACAGCCGCAAAAAGCCAUAACUGAGAACAAAUUUAGGAACAUGUUCAAACCAUAAAUCUUUCACAUUUUCCCGAGGAAAAGAUGUAAAAUGAUAAUUACCAAUUUCAAGGGGGAAUUUAAAAUCAAUGGAGUAGUUUCCCUAGAGUAAGUAAUCAUCGGAGGAAUUUUAUUCAAUGAUAUGAAAUCAUCAAUUACUGAUAUAGUAAAAGAAACAUCUGAGAAAAUGAAGCAAAAAACGGACAGGGCAUGUAUAAAUCUUCCAUUUGAAGCACUUAAAAUCAUUACAGAGAUUAUUUGUUUUACGAACUAUUAAGGAAGCUCACAUUAGUAGCCUAGACUUUAAAGCAGAGGAUAGCAGCAGCUCCAGCUUACAAUUGAGAGUUAAUGACAUGGCAUGCCAACUGGCACCUGGUGGUUAUGUAAUCACUUGUUCGCGUGGUGAUUAGUUAAAAGUUGUUAUAGCUGGUUAGAAUUAGUUUUAUAAUUAGUUAACUAAUUGAGCUAAGCAUCAGCUGUGUAUAUAAACAAUCUCUGUAUACAGUUUUACUAAUUCAGUUGAAUGAAUAAAAUCCUGUGAGCUAGAGUUUUCUAUCCUUAAAUUUUCUUUUACUUUCUUAGCUUCCAAACAUCCUUAUUCUGAUUUCUAACUUGGUAUCAGAGCCAAAAAUGGCAUCCGUGAAUCUUGCCUCUUCUUUAAAUACUACUACUAAUUCAACAACCGUCAAUUUCACUUUCAAUACUCCUGUUAAGCUUGAUCAAUCCAACUAUUUGAUCUGGAAAUCUCAAGUUCUUGCUUCAAUUCGAGGAAAUAGACUUGAGAAAUUCAUCGAUGAGUCAAUCACUCCACCUCCUUCUCAUACUUCUCAGAGAUGUGGUGAUGAUCUUGGAUAUGUGGAGAAUCCAGAGUUUGCAACCUGGAGAGCACAAGAUCAAAUACUUCUCGAUUGGCUUCUUUUAUCUAUGAGUGAAGGUAUCAUCAGUCUGGUAUUCAACCUUGAGACUUCAUUGGAGGUAUGGAAAGCUAUUGAAACUCAUUUUGGAUCUUAAUCAAAGUCUAGACUCUUAAAUCUGAGAUAUUUGAUGAAUUCAACUAGAAAUGAUGAUCUUAAAAUGACUGAAUGCUUCAUUAAAAUGAAAUCUAUUGCUGAUAACAUGGCUGCAGCAGGAAGUGCACUAAGCAAUGAUGAUUUGAUUUUACAUGUACUCUCUGGUCUAGGUCCUGAUUAUAAUUCUGUUGCUACUUACAUUACUGGACAAGUAUGAACUAGGAAAAUGAAUGUUAAUAAGGCUUAUGCUAUGCUGUUAACUCAAGAGGCUAGGAUUGAUCAACAAACUCAUAUGCUUGCUAAUAUGGAUGUUAAACACAAUUUAGAAGCUAACUUUGCACAAAAUAGAGGACCUAAGAGAGGAAACUUCUUAAGAGGAAAAUGUUUUGGUAACCUUGGAUAUAAUUCAGGCUAUAGUAAUGCUGCUGGAAAUUCUGGAAACAGUGGUUACAGAGGAAAUGGUUUUGCUAUUGGAAGUGCUGGAAAUAAUGGUUACAGAGGAAAUUAUGGAGGAGGAGGAGGAGGAAACUGGAAUAAUAAUAAUGCUGUCAAUAAUGGCAAAGCACCUGGAAAUCCUAAAUCUCAGUGGAAUCCUUCUAAGCCUACCUGUCAAGUUUGCUUCAAAAUAAGUCACAUAGCCAAUGUAUGCUGGAAGCUGGAAGAGUUUAUUACCUCUGGAGCUUAUAGACCACCUCCAAAUAGGAAUCCGAAAUCAGCAUAUCUGUCAAACAUGGAAGGAUCAUCUGAUGCAAAUUGGUACCUUGACAGUGGUGCCACUUAUCACCUCACAAAUGACAUGAACAAUAUGCAGAUUUCUGAAUCAUUUGCAGGUACAUCUAAACUCAUUAUUGGUAAUGGUAUUGGCCUAAAUAUUACACAUAUUGGAAAAGCUAUUCUGAGAAUGCACAACUGCACUGAUUCUACUGUGAUUAAACUAAACAAUAUACUUUUAGUUCCACAAAUAACCAAAAACCUCAUAAGCAUUUCCCAACUAACCAAAGACAACAAUAUCAUAGUUGAGUUUACUGAUAAACUUUUUUUUAUGAAGGACAGGGUGAAGAAUUUGAUCAUACUGCAGGGCAAGGCUGAAAAAGGCUUGUACAGAUUGCUAUUAGUUUCUCCUCAGUCUUCCUUUCAAGGUCAUAUUGCUAGUGUUGAGUCUAAUGCCUUAAAUGUUCCUCUUUCAAUGCUUUCAGCUGUCAAUUUCAGUCAUUCAAAUAAAACAAAUCAUUGCUUGCAAAAUGUAGCAGCAGAGUCUUGUAUGAACUCUAAGUGUCUUCUAAGCACUUCUGUUUUACAUCAGAGGCUAGGUCAUCCUAACUCUAAGGUCUUAAAUCAUAUAAUACAGUCUUGUUCCUCUUUCAAACCUAUCAAUGGAAAUAAAGAUUUUGAUUCAUGUGAUGCUUGUAAACUUGGGAAAAUGCAUAGAUUACACUUUCCAGCAACUGAAACAAAAACAAACCAACCUUUAGCCAUUUUACAUACUGAUUUAUGGGGACCAGCUCUAGUGGUUUCCAUACAAGGUUAUAAAUAUUAUGUGAGUUUUGUGGAUGAUUUUACUAGAUUCACUUGGAUAUUUCCCCUGAAAACCAAAGAUGAAACACUUCAUGUGUUCAAAAUUUUCAAAGCACAAGUUGAAAAGCAAUUAGAAUAGCCCAUUAAAUGUCUUCAAUCUGACUGGGGAGGGGAAUUCAGACUUUUUACCAAAUAUCUUCAAGAAGAGGGGAUAGAAUUUAGACACUCUUAUCCUUAUACACAUAACCAAAAUAGUUUGGUAGAAAGGAAACAUAGACAUAUUACUGAAUCAGGCCUCACUCUUCUUGCACAAGCUAAAUUACCUAUCAAAUUCUGGUGGGAUUCCUUUCAUACAGCAACCUAUCUCAUUAACAGAUUACCAACACCUAUCCUAUCAAUGAAAACUCCAUAUGAAUCAAUUUUUCAUCACAAACCAGAUUAUAACUUUCUAAGAACAUUUGGAUGUUCUUGCUUUCCUUUUCUUAGGGAAUACAAUCAUCAUAAAUUCCAUUUCCAUACUUCAAAGUGCGUUUUCUUAGGAUACAGCCCCUCACAUAAGGGCUAUAAGUGUCUUCAUUCAUCAGGCAAGAUUUAUAUUGCCAGUCAUGUAUUGUUUAAUGAAACCACUUUUCCUUACACUUCAUAUCCUAAUUUUUCUUCCACUUCUAAACACACUUCCUCUGACUUUCAAUAUAAUCUUUCUCAAAAAUUUACCCUGUCAGUUCCUAAUAGUAAUCCGAAUAGUCUUAAAGCUACUGCAGUAGAUCAAAAUGAUAUCUUCCCUGUCAAUCAUUCUUUGUCAUCAAAUACACCUCAAUGUCAGUCACUUACAAAUCAGACCUCCACAUUUUUGUCUUCACCUACAUCACAAUCACCAGAAAUACCAGCACCACAAAUACCCUGUACAACACAUACAUCUCAGCCUAAACCUUCAAUUUCCACUCAUCAUAUGACAACCAAAGCUAAGGCUGGAAUCUUUAAACCAAAGGCUUAUCUGACUACUCACAACAGCUUAGAACCAUCUACUGUUCCUGAGGCAUUAUCAGAUCCAAAAUGGAAAGUAGCAAUGCAAAUUGAGUAUGAUGCACUUAUUCACAACAACACUUGGACUCUUGUGCCAAUGUCUUCAACCUACAAGCUAGUAGGCUGUAAGUGGGUAUUCAGAACAAAGUAUAACACAGAUGGAACUGUUAGCAAGCAUAAGGCCAGAUUAGUUGCAAAGGGAUUUCACCAAACAGCAGGGAUAAAUUAUUCAGAAACUUUCAGUCCAGUGGUGAAAUCUUCAACAGUAAGAGUAAUACUUAGCUUGGCAGUUAUUAAAGGGUGGAAGGUCAGACAAAUCGAUGUCAAUAAUGCAUUCCUCAAUGGAGAUCUUUCUGAGGAUGUAUAUAUGACACAACCAGAAGGCUUUGUAACUAGGGAAUGAUAUAUAUGCAAACUCAAUAAAGCUCUCUAUGGUCUAAAACAAGCUCCACGAGCCUGGUAUGAAAAAUUGAAGAGCUGUCUUACAACUUGGCAAUUUCUUAAUUCAAGAGCUGAUACAUCUCUGUUCAUUAGACAUGAUACAAAGGGCUUAAUCAUAGUAUUGAUUUAUGUGGAUAAUAUCCUAGUCACUAGACCAGAUUCUGCUCUACUAGAGGAUUUUAUUGUUAAACUCAGUCAAGCCUUUGCCUUGAAAGACCUGGGAUUAGUUGCAUACUUCCUAGGUAUUGAAGUUAGUUACUUAGAUGAAGGAAUGCAUCUAUCUCAAACAAAAUAUGUUAAAGACUUGCUGAGUAAAGCUUCUAUGGAGAAUUGUAAAGGGUCUGAUACUCCACUUAAUACUGGUUUGAAGCUAAAAAGAAAUGUCAGGGGUCCAUUGGGUCAGGAAUUCAAAAAUCCAACACUCUACAGAAGUUUUGUUGGAGGAUUACAGUAUCUAAUUCUCACCAGGCCUGAUAUAGCUUAUUUAGUUCAUAAACUCAAUCAGUACCUUAGUUCUCCUACUGUACAGCACUGGUUAGCUCGCAAAAAAGUUCUUCGAUAUCUCCAGUCAACUAUCACUUAUGGCCUUUAUCUUAGAAAUGAUACAACUCUGGAAAUUAGGUUAACAGGCUAUUCAGAUGCAGACUGGGCUGGUGAUCUUGACGAUAGAAAAUCAAUUGGAGCUUAUUGUAUAUACCUAGGUAACAAUCUGAUUUCAUGGUCUUCUAAAAAGUAAGCAAUUGUAGCAAAGUCAAGCACUGAAAGUGAAUACAGAGCCCUGUCAGCAGCAAGCUCAGAAAUCUCUUGGUUGCAGUCUUUAUUUUCAGAACUUAAUAUUGUUAAAUUACCUACUCUAAUUCUUUGGUGUGAUAACCAAAGUGCAGGGGAGCUAGCUCGCAACCCUGUAUUUCACUCAAAAUCUAAGCACAUAGAGUUGGAUAUUCAUUAUGUUAGAGAUAAGGUGCUUGGAAAAGAAUUGGAGAUCAGAUACAUUCCCACUGAAGAACAAGUAGCUUAUGUUCUUACUAAGCCCUUGUCUUUCUCUAAAUUUAGUUUCUUUAGAUCCAAGCUCAAUGUCGUCAGCAGACCUUUGAGCUUGAGAGGGGAUAUUAAGAAAGCAGAGGACAGCAUCAGCUCCAGCUUACAAUUGAGAGUUGAUGACAUGGCAUGCCAGCUGGCACCUGGUGGUUAUGUAAUCACUUGUUCACGUGGUGAUUAGUUAAAAGUUGUUAUAGCUGGUUAGAAUUAGUUUCAUAAUUAGUUAACUAAUUGAGCUGAGCAUCAGCUAUGUAUAUAAACAAUCUCUGUAUACAGUUUUACUAAUUCAGUUGAAUGAAUAAAAUCAUGUGAGCUAGAGUUUUCUAAUCCUUAAAUUUUCUUUUACUUUCUUAGCUUCCAAACAUCCUUAUUCUGAUUUCUAACUCGAACCAAAGUGGCUAAGCUGUUUAGACUCCUUUUCCAGCAAGACUAGAGCAGGGCAUUUGAUUUCUGGGUCAAUCAGAAACAUAUUUGCAACAUCAACUCUAGUAGUUUGGAAGAAUAAAACAUCAGGAUGCAGUUUUGAUGCAGCCGCAAGCGCUUCACCUUUUAGGCCCUAAAAUUUUUUGUCAUAGCAGUAACAAAUAUUAAGGGAAACACUAAAGCAAUUGCUCAAAUCAAAUAAGUGAGUAUGGACCUUUAAAGAGUUAAGGAAUCCCAAACCAAUGGUAGAUUGAGCUGUCAAUAAGUGCUCUGCAUUCUCCGUUGUCAUCACAGUGUAAAGAUCACCGGCCAUCUUCGUCUUUAUAUAAUUCACAAUAUCAUCCCUUCAAAAUAAAAAGGAUCUCGUUAUUAACAAAUGCACAAGCAUAUAAUAGACUUGCCCCUUUUAACUUUUCCCACUUCUCAACAACUAUAACAGAUUAAAAAGGAUCAUAUUGAACAAAAAGAUCCAACAAAAGAAAACACCUGUUCCAAAAAAACUCACUUCUUCCUGUUAUGGUAGUAAGUAUCCAUAUGUACUCCAUUAACAAAGAAAUAAAUGGUUGUAUAUCCUUGAAUUCCCCAUCUUUUUGCCAACUCGAUCUCGUUGAUAGCAUUAACUUUUGCUAGCACCGCUUUGCCCUUCAGCUCAGUGGUAGCGGCUUCAUAUUCUGGAGCCAGGUUUUUGCUCUAGAAGCACCAUGGUGCGUAAAAAGCCACCAUCACAUGCUGAUUCUUGGCUAGAACAUCACUAAAAUUCUUGUCACUUAAAUUCACUGAUCUUCUUUUUCAUCAAUAGCCAAAGGCAAGUUGUACUUUCGAUCUUUGAAACUUUCAUAAUAAUUUAAUGGUGCAACGGUGUCUCUGGAAGAGAUUGGAGGAAAUUUCUUGAAUACAAAAACACAUAAUACAUAGCCUCCAUCAAAAUCUAUUUUGUAAACACAGAAAGGCGAAAGCCAAAACACAAUGAACAAAACAAAAAUCAUAGUGAAGAGCGCAAGAAGAUGAGCUUUAGUUGACAUUGUUGAGCAGCCGACCUUAAGUAGGUGCUCUGCAAUUUCUACUUGACGUCGUCAAAUAGUUAUUUUAUAACAAUGAUCCUGUCAGCAAUGCAAAUUUUACCACGAAUUGCUGGCCAGUGACAAGAUAAUUAUAAUUAAAUGCCUCCUUUUUGACAUGUAGUUUCACAGAGUAGACAACAAGCUAAUAAAUAAUAAAAUUUAUUUUGAUUUCUAUUCAGAAAUUACACUAUUAACAUCCCAUUGACAGAAAGAAACCCUAUAUCCACCACUAGCUUUAUAAAGUACAAUCGACAAAGACAAGAUCCAAAUCUCUAGCAGAUGAAACCAAUGUUCCUACGAACAUCACUAUGCAACAAGAUUACACUGAAUCUUGAAAGCAACGAAUUGAAUGGAAUAUUCUUUUGCAGCCAUUCCUAUAUGGCGUUAAUUUGUAUUCUCAACUCCUUACCAUAAUGUGACAUGCUUGGUCAUCUCUCUUUAUAAUCUUUAAAAAGUGUCUGCUUGAACUUCGUAUUAUAAUCCUUUUGUAUGUGAAUGGAUUACCUACAUUUGUUGAUAAACUUAAUGAAUUUCUCCAAUUAGUUCUUUAUGGAUCAGCUUCAGUAUCUCUGAGACCUACAGCUUCAGUAUCUUCAAUUAGACCUACAAAUUUACCGUCAAUUAGAACAACAAUGUUGAAGACAUAUGUAUUACAAAUAUCACAUAUACUAGCAUAUAAUGUGACAUGAUAGAGUUGUAGUUGCAUCACAAACUGAGAUAUAUUAUGAAAGAAUUUUAAGAAAAUAUAUCAUUGCUCACCUCGAAAUGCUGUUGCAAUACAGGUGAACGUUGAUGCAGUGUUGUGUAUAUCUUCUCAAGUAAGCCUAUGAGUGCAUCCACUUGAUCGCCCAGCAGAUCCACCUGGAAUCCAAGCCACGUAAUGAAUCUUAAGAAAAUUUGCUUGAAACACACUUAAAAUGUACAUUCAUCAAAUCCAAGUUAAAUUUAGCUUGUUUAACCAAAAAAAAAGAAACAAAGGUGAAUAAAACUGAAAUUGCAGCUCAAAACCUUAGUUUCAGCCUUCUGGAGAUUCUUGCUUCUUCUGAUAAAUGCUGUUUUGUAGAGUAAUUCCCGUGUUUGUAUUGAGGAAACAAGCUGUUGUUUUAUGAAGCAAAUCAGUUGGUAAAACGACCAGCUGAUGUCGCGUUUUGGAAAGCAACACACUUACUCUUUUGAACGACAUGAAUGAAGGUCGUUUUGGUUUAAGUGAUGCACGAGAGUUUCACGUGCACGGAUAAGUUACUUUCUUGGUUCGUUAGAAUCAGUUAGUUCACAUGCCAGUCACGUUGGUUUCUGGGUUCGUUACUGAUUCAUUAACAGGCUGUUAUAUACAGUUGAUUCUGCCAACAGAAAAAAAAGUGAGAGUGAGAGCUAUUGUGAGUUGAGGAGAUUGAAACAAAUGCUUCUUGAAAGACUCUGUAAUCAGCUUGAAAAGCUCUCUGUAACUUCUGUGAACAAUCAAUAAAAUUGGGUUCUGUUUCUCUCGUGGAUGUAAGCUAGAUUGAAGCUAGCUGAACCACGUUAACUCUUGUUCUUUUCUUAAUUCUUUUUAGUUCUAGACUCUUUGUGUAUUCUGCAGGAUUGAUUCUUGGUGUAUCUUGUUUGUUUGAUUGUGAUCUUAGAGAAGUGUUUCGAGUUGAUUGGAUAAUUAGUCACUCUUAAACACUACAAUUGGUAUCAGAGCCUGGAUUCCAAAUCAAACACAAGUAUGGCUGGUUCAAAGAUUGAUCUAGAGAAGUUUACAGGGAAGAAUGACUUCAACAAUUGGAAGGUUAAGAUGGAGGCACUACUGAUCACUCAAGGGCUAGGUGAUGCCUUAGAACCUAUCAUCAAGAAAGAAGGAUUAGAAGCCUCCACAUCAUCAUCAUCACUAACACUACAACAAGCUACUGAGAUUGACAAAAAGGCAAGGAGUACCAUAAACUUGAGUCUUGGAGACUCGGUGAUCAGGGAAGUUGCAAGAGAAAGAACAGUGGUUGAUCUGUGGGCAAAGCUUGAAAGGGUGUAUAUUACUAAAUCAUUAGCCAACAGACUUUACAUCAAGAAAAUGAUGCUCACACUAAAGAUGGCUGAAGGAUCAUCUCUCGAAGACCACAUUGAUGAAUUUAACCAAGUCUGUGAUACACUAGAAAUAAUUGAUGAGGUUUAGAUGAUAAAGGUAAAGCAUUGCUUCUGGUUCGUUCACUUCUAUCCUCAUAUUCAAACUUUGUUGAUGCACUCAUGUAUGGGAGACAGACUUUAUCAUUGGAUGAAGUUAAGGCUGCCUUGAAUACUAGAGGGCUGCAAGAAAAGUCAGGGAAUAUGAACUCUGGAGAAGUGUUGGCAGUAAAAGCAAGAACUGAUAAGUAUGAUGGGAAGAAAAAGAAGCAAGGGAACAAUAAACAAAAGACUAAAAGCAAGAAAUGUUUUCAAUGCCAGAAAGAAUGGCAUUCAAGAGAGAUGCCCAGAACUCAAGAACAAGAAANNNNNNNNNNNNNNNNNNNNNNNNNNNNNNNNNNNNNNNNNNNNNNNNNNNNNNNNNNNNNNNNNNNNNNNNNNNNNNNNNNNNNNNNNNNNNNNNNNNNNNNNNNNNNNNNNNNNNNNNNNNNNNNNNNNNNNNNNNNNNNNNNNNNNNNNNNNNNNNNNNNNNNNNNNNNNNNNNNNNNNNNNNNNNNNNNNNNNNNNNNNNNNNNNNGUGGGGAUAGGAAAUGUAAACCUAAAAUUGCAUGAUGGAACAAUAAGAGAGUAAAGGAAAGUUAGGUAUGUUUCUGAACUUAAAAGGAACUUAAUAUCUCUAGGUAUGCUUGACCAAAUGGGGCUUAGCAUUAAGCUUGAAUCUGGUGAGCUGAGAAUUUCAAAUGGAGAUGGGGUAGUUAUGAAAGGUUACAAAAGAAAUGGGGUUUAUGUUUUGAAUGGGGAAGCUAUAACUGGUGUGUCAGGAGUGUCAAUCAAUUCGAGCUGUGAUAACACUUUGCUGUGGAACCUUAGAUUAGGACAUAUGAGCUUGAGAGGUUUGAAAGAAUUACAGAAGCAAGGGGUUCUAGGUAGCAGUCAAAUCUCAGAACUGGAUUUUUAUGAAGACUGUGUACUAGGCAAAGCUACAAGAAAUAGCUUUGGAAAAUCAGUUCAUUCAACCAAAGGCAUCCUUGAAUACAUACACUCAGAUUUAUGGGGACCAGCACAGACAAUUUCACUAAGUGGCAACACCUAUUUCUUGUCUUUAAUAGAUGAUUAUUCAAGGAGAGUAUGGGUUUAUGUCUUAAAACAUAAGGAUCAGGUAUUUGGCAAAUUCAGAGAGUGGAAAUCCCUGGUUGAAAAUCAAACUGGAUUGAAGGUGAAGAAACUCAGAACUGACAAUGGUCUUGAGUUUUGCAAUCAGGAGUUUGAUAGCUACUGUGCAUAUCAUGGCAUUGCAAGGCAUAGAACUGUAAGGCUGACUCCUCAACAAAAUGGGUUAGCCGAAAGAAUGAACAGAACCCUGAUGGACAAAGUAAGAAGCAUGAUGAUCCAGUCACAACUUCUCAAAGGAUUGUGGGCUGAGACUCUGUUAACAGCAAGCUAUCUGGUAAAUCUAAGUCCCUCUGCAGCACUUGACUUCAAAACCCCAUUUGAGAAAUGGCAUGGAAAACCAGCAGACUAUAACAACCUCAAAGUAUUUGGAUGUCCAGCUUAUGCACAUGUGAGUCAAGGGAAGUUAGCUCCAAAAGCCCUUAAAGGAAAGUUCAUUGGGUAUCCUGAAGGUGUUAAGGGAUUCAAACUGUGGUGUACAGACCUUAAUCCCCCCAAGUGCAUAAUCAGUAGAGAUGUAAUAUUCAAUGAGAAAGCUGCACUGGAAAUGAAGAAACCUACUGACACAGAUGCACAAAAGGAUAAGGAGAGAACCAAGAUUCAGUUUGAGGUGGAGCCCUUCACCAGAGAAGCUUCAGAAGAUAAAGAUGAAUCUUAUCAAGGAGCUGUUGAUCAAGAAACUGAUCAUGUAAAGCAGACUGAAGCUCAGCAUCAGGAGUACCAGCUGACAAGAGACAGAGAAAGAAGGAAAGCAAAAGCACCUGUCAGAUAUGGAUAUGCAUAUCUGAUAGCCUAUGCAUUGACAGCAUCUCAUCAAAUUGAUGAUGAUGAACCCAAGAACUACAAAGAGGCUAUCCACGGACCAUACAAAGAUGAGUGGAAAAAGGCCAUGGAUGAAGAAAUCGAUUCACUGAAGAAGAACAAUACAUGGGAGUUGGUUAAAAGACCUGCCAACAGCAGAACAGUAGGAUGUAAAUGGAUCUACAAAGUCAAAGAUGGACUAACAGCUACUGAACCUAGAAGAUUCAAAGCUAGGUUAGUAGCUAAAGGUUACACACAGAGGGCUGGAGUGGAUUUCAAAGUUGUGUUCUCACCAAUAGUCAGACAUACAUCAAUCAGAGUGCUACUGGCUUUAACUGCUAUAAAAGACAUGGAGCUUGAUCAACUCGAUGUCAAGACAGUCUUUCUGCAUGGAAGACUAAAUAAGGACAUCUUGAUGACACAACCUGAAGGGUACACAAGUCCUGAAUCUGCUGACUGUGUGCGUCUGCUGAGGAGGUCACUGUAUGGGCUGAAACAAUGACCCAGACAGUGGUACCUUAGAUUUGAUGAGUUUAUAGUCACUCAUGGAUAUCUAAGGUGCAGCUAUGAUGUAUGUGUUUACUACAAGAUCAUACAAUCAGGUAACUACAUAUAUCUGCUGUUAUAUGUAGAUGAUAUGUUGAUUGCUUGUAGUGAAAGAGAAGAGAUUGAGGCUUUGAAGCAGCUGCUCAAUUCAGAAUUUGAUAUAAAAGACUUGGGUCCAGCUAAGAAGAUUUUGGGAAUGGAAAUAAUAAGGAACAGGAAUAAAGGUACUAUGAUUCUGUCUCAAAUGAAGUAUCUAGAGAAGGUACUUGGAGCUUCUGAGAUGUCAAGCAGCAAGUCAGUAGUAACCCCUCUAGCAUCUCACUUCAAGAUGUCUUGUUCACAAUGUCCCAGUACAGAUGAAGAGAGAAGUGAAAUGACAAAAGUUCCUUAUGCAAAUGUUGUUGGUUGCAUGAUGUAUGCAAUGGUACUUACAAGACCAGAUUUAGCUCAUGCUUUAAGUGUUGUAAGUAUGUUUAUGGCUACACCUGGAAAGGAUCACUGGAAGGCUGUUAAAUGGGUGCUGGGGUAUCUGAAAGGUACACAAGAGUAUGGCCUGGUAUAUGGAAAAUUAGCUAGAAAGGUUGUAGGUCUCUGUGGUUAUGUUAACUCAGACUAUGCUGGGGACUUAGACAGAAGGAGAUCUCUAACUGGCUAUAUGUUUUUCUUGGAUGGCUGCCUUGUUAACUGGAAAGCAAGUUUGCAGCAUAUUGUUGCCUUGUCAACAACAGAGGCUGAAUACACUGCUGCAACAGAAGCUGUCAAGGAAGCUCUGUGGCUGAGAGGGUUGAUAACAGAACUGGGAAUGAAGCAGGAGACUGUUGAAGUUCAUUGUGACAGCUCAAGUGCAAUUUACUUGAGUAAGAACCCAGCCCACCAUGAAAAACUAAACACAUAGAUAUAAAGUUACAUUUCAUCAUAAAUGUAAUCUCAAAAGGUGUGAUUAGUAUGGUGAAAGUGCAUACAGAUGAUAAUCCUACUGACAUGCUUACUAAGGUCGUAACUACAGCUAAGUUCAAAAGUUGCUUGGACAAAGCUGGGCUGAGUGAUUUCUAAAAUACUCAGGUUGGAGAAACCAGGAUCAGGGAGUGAUUUGUUCAAGGUGGAGAAUUGUUGUAUUAUGAAGCAAAUCAGUUGGUAAAACGACCAGUUGAUGUCUCGUUUUGGAAAGCAACAAACUUACUCUUUUGAACGACAUGAAUGAAGGUCGUUUUGGUUUAAGUGAUGCACGAGAGUUUCACGUGCACGGAUAAGUUGCUUUCUUGGUUCGUUAGAAUCAGUUAAUUCACAUGCCAGUCACGUGGGUUUCUGGGUUCGUUACUGAUUCAUUAACAGGCUGUUAUAUACAGCUGAUUCUGCCAACAGAAAGAAAGUGAGAGUGAGAGCUAUUGUGAGUUGAGGAGAUUGAAACAAAGGCUUCUUGAAAGACUCUGUAAUCAGCUUGAAAAGCUCUCUGUAACUUCUGUGAACAAUCAAUAGAAUUGGGUUCUGUUUCUCCCGUGGAUGUAAGCUAGAUUGAAGCUAGCUGAACCACGUUAACUCUUGUUCUUUUCUUAAUUCUUUUUAGUUCUAGACUCUUUGUGUAUUCUGCUAGAUUGAUUCUUGGUGCAUCUUGUUUGUUUGAUUGUGAUCUUGGAGAAGUGUUUCGAGUUGAUUGGAUAAUUAGUCACUCUUAAACACUACACAAGCUCAACAAGCAAAUCUAAUUGAUGCUUCAUCUCUUCCAACCUGUACAAAAGUAGCGCAGUAAAGGUCAAUCACUUGUUCAAACAACUAAUUUUGAUGGAACAUAAAUAUCGUAACACAAAUAGCCAUAGUCAAUGUUCACAGAAAGAUUAAAUUAAAGCAUUUGAGGGGAACUAUAUAUAAAUGUAAACUGAAGUACCUCAAAACUUUGUCUGCUAAUUUUUCUUGUGCUUGGAGCUCACAAUUUCCAAAUACUUGUGAAAACUCCAGUAUAGGUGUAAACAUGGAAUCCAAUUGGUUUCUAGGAAUCUCUUCAUUUUGUUGUUGGAAAGUUAUGGAAUUUUUGUCGUGCACAUUAUCUGCAAGAAUCAUUUGAUCAUCAACUCUUUCUUGAUCAUAGUCCGCUGUGCCUAAACUAGAUUCCAACUCACUCAUUAUUGUCUUACUUGUGGCUAACCGAUCUAGGCUUUCUCAAGUUUGCUUCUCACCGAAGUAAAAGUGGCCUCAUCCUCAUUCAUCAGUUCUUGAAAGAUCUCAUGCUCGUUCAGCUGUUCAGUUUCCAUUUCCACCCAGUCAAGUUGUUUCUUGUGUUCAUUUACUUCAGAACUUGCACUUACCAUUAGAUCUCCAUCUUCUUCCAAACACUUCAAUAACAUAUCUAGUUUUUCGAUAAAACUAUCCUCUCCAUUUCCCUCAAAAUUUCCGUCUAUAUUGUUGGCGGAACUUUUGUCUUGCUUCCGGGCUUCUCCUUCCGUGAAACAUAGGCAAGCAUCUUUCAUCGUCUCACGAAAAACAAAUUCCUGUAUCUCCUAUCUAAAGAGAUACUCAAUGUUGCAAGCAUCUAUCUCUUUCUUCCACUCAUCAAUAGUUUCCCCGAAUAAAACCAUAUACACAUUCUCCUUCACAAAAUAUUCCGCUAUUUUAAGUGACUUGUCAGGAACCUCAACCUCUUGGAGUUUUGUAAAUGUGUAGUUCGCAGUAUUCACAACAUCUCUGAAGGUCUCAUCAAAGACAGACGAGAAACCUCUUCUGUUAUAAGCCUGCCAAUUCUAUAGUUUCCAAUUUUCUCAUUCCAAUCCUUGCAAAUUUCCCGGUACAAGACUGAGCAUAUAUCCUCACUUAAAGAGCAUUCAUCUCGAAAAUGUUUUAAUUUCCUAUCCAGUGCAGAGCAAAACCCCUUAACUGCCUCACUGCAUACAGUAUAAUAUAUUUCCUCUCUCAUCUGAGCCUCAAACUUGUUACUUUCAACUUCCUCUUUCAACAUCCUUAUUUCAAUUUGUAGUUCUUCAUCGGCUGCAUCAGCGACUGACGCGUUAUUCAUUUUCUUCCAGACGCCAUCCAAAUUGUCAAUGUCCAAGUUCAUUUCUUUUCUCACAUCAGAUUUCAAUAGGUUUUUUGCUGCUGAGGAUUCGUCCCAUUGAUCACCUCCAUAUUCUCCAAAAGUCUCAACCAACCUGGCAUUGCAGUUCAUUAAAUUAUCCAAUCUUACAAUAACUUCUUGGAUUCUUCUUUUUAGGCUAACCGGAUCCUUCUCUCCUCUUAAGUUUGAACACCCUUUUUUCUGGAAGCAUUUCUCGCUUCAACCAUUUAACCUCUUCACUUUUUCUCCGAAUUAUAAACUCGUGACUCUUUAUGAUCUUAGCAACAGAUUGACCAACACCCUCUUCUGAUUCUACUUCUUCAACCUUUGAGGAAAAAUUGGCACAACUGUCUCCUUCUGAUAAAGAUCUUCGCAGCCUCGGAGGAAUAUUCCUCUCAAUAUUAGUUUUGGUUGAAGAUUUUAAAUUCUCAUUCCCUUUUGCAGCUUUCAGUUGAGCCUCGUUCUGAUUGAUAAAGCUCUCAAGCUCAUUACGCAAGCACGUAACCUCCGUCAUCAAAUCUGACGAAUGCUCACUCAAGCUCAUGAAAACUUGCUUCUCUUGCUUCCUCAUUUCCAUCUCAAAGUUCUCCUUAAAAUCGUUAACAAAACCAUUAAUCAAUGUACAAAUUGCAUCCUUCUCAAUAGUCCACCUCCAUUGCUGCUCCUGGGGCCCCAGCUCAGACAAAAAAAUCGCAUUCUGCAUUUUCCCAAAAGCCUGAUGCAAAGUCUCUUUCAAAAUAUUAAUAUCAGAACCCAUCUGCUCAAUCUUUUUGUGAUCAAUACCGCCAUUCCUUUCCUCAUCAAUAACUUCAUGCUCGAUAUGCAAGACUUCUUGAUCAACUGAAUGCAUCAACUCAGAAAUUUCACUAUCUCUAUCCUCAUCACUCUUUGUUCUUUCAAUCUCCACGUUAGCAUUUUGCAAAGCAACCAAUUCUUUUUCCUUCGCAUCCAAUGCUAGCCUAAACUUCAACUCAUUUUCGAACCUCUCCGUCAAUUCCUUAUCCUUUUCGCGGAGAGCCAUUUCUGAAUCCUGAAGGCGACACUGGAGACGGUCUUUGAUUUCUUCCAAGUCUGCCAGGACUUUUUCAUGGCAGCUUUCAAACAUGUUGUUGUCUGCAUCCUCCUGGACAAAUUUCAUGCACCCUUCUAGCUGAAUUACUGCAAGUUCAUAGAAUUUCGAUAUCUCAUUCAAGCGCUGAAUGACGCCAUCUCUGGACUUUACUUUGCCGUGUGCUCUUUCCAUGUCGCCAUCAUUGUUGCAUCUGUUAAAGAAAUUCUUAGUGUGCCUUCAAGCAAUCCAAAAAGACCAGCCAUUUUUUUUUUCUUUUUGUUUGGUUCAUCUAUUGAAAAUGAAGCAAUAGAAAUGUGAAUGAGAUCUUCUGUUUUUAUGUUUCCUUGAAAAUUGGUGAUCUAAUUGACUUAUUCUAACUUGUUACUUGUUACAUAUAUGUUGAAAAUGUGACUAGAAUUAUUCCUAUAUUUCAUUUAAAUACUAAUGCAUAUUACCAUUUAUGCAAAGAUAACAAGGAAUUGAUAAUUUUAGGGAACUCACGGUAAUUUUUUAUCUUUUUUUAAUAGAAUUUUUUAUCAUUAAAUCAAAUGGAUUUGUUGUAAAUUUGAAAGUUAUGAGACCUUUAUUACUUGAAAUAACUGGUUUGUCCUUCGUUUCCUUCGAGAGCCCGAAAAGUUCUAAACGUUCAACGCUCAAGCCAAUAUUUUUUUUUUUUUGUUUUAACCACGAUAUAUUCUGGGGAGGGCCCCAAUUAUGGGAGAUACUUUUAAGUUCGUACCAUAACUUAGACUAGAAGUCCCCGCUUGAAUCGAGAGGUACAAAUUCUCCCAACAAAAAUGAUUUUUCUACGACUCAAACUGAGAAGCAAACACAAUCAAAUCACUUAAGGGUGACUUCAUUACCAGUAGAGCCAACACUUUAUUAGUAACGCUCAAACUAAUAUAGACGGUUAGAAUGUCCUCCUCAAUUAAUUUGAGAGGAAAAUUACAGAUAAUAUGUAUGGUUUGAUGAAGGAGCAAAGGAACAUUAAAAAGGUGUAAUUAACAUUGCCAACGAACGUGCCCAACAUUAAUUUAUUAGUUGUUUCAAAUAAAGCAUCCACUUGGCAUACUAUAAUUGGUUGUUUCCUACAGCAGCCACUACAGAUCUCAUUAAGCGCCAGAAUCUAACUCAGCGGCGGGGCGCGAACCACCACUGCCCUUGGCGGCGCGUGAGGCUCUUUCUCUCAGCCACUCCACCACCUCUCCAGAAACCAACUCAACGUUCUGCCCAGGCUCGCCAAUCAGCUGAUGCCACGUGCCUGGAUAAAUCCUCAGCGUCUUAUCCUUACUGGCUGCAUGUUUAUACUACUCUUCAACGCAGGCGGGAUCGCAAACGACGUCGUCUUCCUCUUGGGGCUCAUUGAGUAUUUUUUAUACUCAAAUCCCUUGCAAAUCCCUCGACACGCGCAGCAACUCCAGCACGGUCGCCGCACGCAGCCUUGGCACCGACCUCCUGGGGCUCGACAACGCCAGCUUCCUCUUCCACUCCUCCUUGAAGGAGACCAUCGGGAGAGAACCGUGGGUGGGACCCACGCGCCAGGAAGCCACCAGCCAUACUACUGUGAAGAGAAGGUGCUCGAAGGGCCACGGAGGCUUGAAUUUCUGGCUAAUCCCGCACAUGGCCCCAUUCAAAAUCAAACCAUCCCACGCGCCCUUCCGACGGAGCGUGAAGUAAAGAGCUAUGGCCCCACCCAAGGACUCGGAAUACAAAAACGCGAACAAAUUCGGUGCGUGUCUCACAAUGACAUAUCACAUGUUAUAUUAAUUAUUUGGGAUGAAACUGAAAAUAAAUAAAUUUAGUAUGCUUGCUUUUGCAUAAAACCUUCUUUUUUUUGUAGGGUUAUUUUGGAUCUAAUAAUUUAAUUUACAAAUAUACUUUUGUUUUAUCAAUAAUAACAUUUAAUUUGCAACUGCUGGGGAUCUCUACUCCCUAGUGUUGGCUCAAGGAGACCUUGGCAACAACCAUUGCAACGAAUAUAUGACAAGUUUUAUCGCGAUAAUUACUUGCUAAUUGAUUUCUUUGCACUUGAUGUACAACACAUAUCAUAUUAUAUCAAUUUUAAAGCUAUAUAUUGAGAAUUCUAACAUAAUCAAAUGCAUAUAUGAGCAAUUAAUUGACAAUCAACACACCAAUUAGAAAAACUAAACAUGUGUAAGGAAUUUACUGAGUAUCAGUAACAUAGUAGAAAUAUGAUAAAGUUAUGAUGAGACAUGUGACAAAAAAAUAAGUCAAUAUUCAAUUAUUAAAUAUAAAUUAUCACUAUAUUUGGUACUGAGGUGUUGUGAUUAAAAAAAAUGAGAAAGUAUGGUAAUAUGUAAUAAUUUUAAAAGUUAUUAUGACUUUUUAUUGUAUAAAUAAAAUAAACUUAAUUUUUAGAUUAUAGCCGUAAGUAUUUAUUAAGCACAUUAGUAUUGGAAUUUAAAAGCUAUACUUUCCAAAAAUAAUUAAGUAGGGCUAAUACCUAAAACAAGUCUAACAGAAUUUUUUUUUAUUUCUAGAAAAUAAAAAAUGCAUGUGAUAUGUAAUUUGUGAGGAUUUGAAUUUACAGAAGCAGAGGAAACAAAAGAAUUUUAAAAAAGCGAAUUGCUUUAUGAAAUAAUUUUUCUGCAUCCUUUAUUCAGACAGCUUUAGGCUUUUUAUAAGAGCCAAUUGGAAACACGCAAUCUACGCUAGUAACUGCCCUUGGAACAACAAAAGACACCCUAGACAAUAACACAUGAAAUACUAGAAAUAAUAGGAAAUAUGGGUAAUAAUAUUGCACACAUAGUUGAUAGACCACGUGUCAAGCACCCAUUUAUUUCAAAGCACUUAUUAUUAAGUCCUAGACUCCUCCUAUCAAGCAUGGCUAUCAGGUACGUGGGAAGUUUGUCAAAUGCAUGGGUUCUUGCUCGUCUUUGGGAGACAUAUCAGCAUGCUUGGAAAGAGAUACACGCAAGACAAUCAACACAAGAUUUGCUUUAUUUCUAGGAUGCAUGGGCAUGCACUCUACUUAUAGAACUCCAUAACCCAGAGAUUACCAAUAGCAAGUUCACAACUGAUCCCACCAAAAC
rnacentral:lncRNA from 1 species